rnacentral:lncRNA from 1 species
AAAUGUUCUGCAUGUAUGCUUUUGGUCAAAAGUCCCCUAAAGACGGUUUUUAUGAACUUGCGCGUGAAAUUACAUACCUUGUCGGUGAACUUCCUUUAGGACUAAGGGUUAUUGGAUCCCACUUUCGUGGAUUGUCCAAGGAGCAGUGGUCAAUGGAAAUAUCAAGGUUAAGGACUAACCUUGAUGGAGAUAUUGAGAGCAUUUUGAAGUUCAGUUUUGAUGCUUUAUGUGAUGAAGAUAAAGAUUUAUUCCUUCAUAUAGCUUGCUUUUUCAACAACGAAAAUAUAAACAAAUUAGAAGAAUUUAUUGGCCAAAGAUUCAAGGAUUUGAGUCAAAGGCUUUACGUUUUAGUGGAGAAAUCUCUCAUAUCUAUUGAAAGAUUUCUUGAAUAUGUGAGUAUAAAAAUGCACAAUUUGCUGGCCCAACUAGGUAAAGAAAUCGUCCGUAAAGAAUCUCGUGAGCCUGGGCAACGCCGAUUUUUGUUUGAUAAUAAAGAUAUUUGUGAAGUAGUCUCUGGUUAUACAACUGUAAGUUUUUCCAUUAUUCUUUCAUUGCAGUGCUCACCAUAACUUGAGUUUAUUUUAUCAUCUCUACUUAUCUUUGGGUCUUUUUUCUCAGAAUACUGGAAGUGUUGUAGGCAUAGACUCCGAUUCUUGGUUAAAUAUAACUGAGAAAGCCUUUGAAGGAAUGCCUAAUCUCCAGUUCUUAAGAGUCGUCGUAUACAAUUUUGAUCAUCCAAACAUUAUAUCUUCUUCGGGACCUCUGACUUUUAUAUCUUCGAAGCUACGAUUAAUAGAGUGGUGGUAUUUUCCGAUGACAUCUUUGCGUUUUAUUAAUAAUCUGGAAUUCCUUGUCGAAUUAAAAAUGCGUUACAGCAAACUUGAGAAGCUGUGGGACGGAAUCAAAGUAAGUCAUUUAAAUUUUAGUUUUGUAUGUAGAAUAUCCUCUCUUGUACAUUAAAUUAACUUGAAAAAUUAUAUUUUACUUGCCACUUCGUUUCUAGCAUGAAAAUAUAUAUAUAUUUUAAAAUUUUAUGUGUUCCAAUUGCUAAGUGUAAUGUGUUCCAAUUUUAUGUGUUAAAUUUUUAUGUAUAAUUGUGUAUAUUUUGUCUCCAUCUUUCUUUACAGCUGCUUAAGAAUCUCAAGCGUAUGGAUUUGUCAUAUUCCAGAAACCUGAAGGAGCUUCCUAAUCUUUCAAUGGCCACUAGUCUUGAGAAGUUAAAACUUAGUGGAUGUUCAAGUCUGGUGGAGCUCCCUUCUUCUAUUGGGAAUUCAACUAAUCUCUCCACAUUCAAACUUGAUGGAUUUAGUCUAGUGGAGCUCCCUUCUUAUGUUGGUAAUUUAACUAAUCUCCAGGAAUUAUCACUUAGUGGAUGCUCAAGGCUUGUAUCACUCCCACAGCUUCCAGAUUCCUUAUUGCGCCUAAAUGCAAACAAUUGUGAGUCCCUAGAGAAACUAGACUGCUCCUUUUGCAAUCCAUAUAUUUGGCUUCACUUCGCUAACUGCUUCAAACUAAAUCAAGAAGCAAGAGAUCUCCUCACCGAGACAUCAAAUGUUAAAUUGUAAAGAAGUGCCUGCGUGCUUCACUUACAGAGGUUAUGGGAAUUCCGUAACAGUGAAGUUGAAUCAAAAGCCUCUUCCUACAUCAACCAAAUUUAAGGCUUGCAUCUUAUUUGGUAACAAUGGCGAAAAUGACGUUAGUUAUAUUUAUUGGGACACAACAUGUGUGUAUACGAAGAAGAAUAAGGGUUGCAUCUUGUUGGAUAAUAAGGGAGAACAUGAGGAACGAGGGUCGGUGUCUUGUCGCAUCAGACACAAACCGAAUGGUUUCUUAAAUUACUAUCCAGUUAUAACGGAGCAUCUAUACAUUUUCGAAGUUGAAGUAGAGGAGGUGACUUCCACAGAGCUUUUUUUUUAUUUCGAGAUCUUCAAAGAGGAUUCCAGGACUAUGGAGAUAAAAGAAUGUGGGAUAAUCCACAUCUUGGAACAUCAUGUUGAUGGCGACGAAAAGAUGGCGAUGAAGAUGGAGACAAUGUAGAUCUGAGACAAACAUUGAAACUCAAGUCAAACAGAGAAGCCACAAGACAAAAUUGCAAGGACGAAUGGUAAGUUUGCAUUUUCACAACUCAAGAACUUACUUUGUUGAUAAACUUUGCAUAACAACUGUUCAAUGAAAUGUCUAAGUGAGCUUUUUAAGUUUAAAGUGACAAUAGCUAGAACUGCAAUCUCCAAAAUGAUUUUUGAAUUCAAUCGUGUAGGGUUUAGAGCUGGAGCUUAAGAAACUCUUGAAGGUGAAGUUGAAGACGUCCAUGAAGAUCUAUUUAAGAAACAGGUACAAAACUUAUACAUUCUUUUGAUUUAUGUGUUUUGUUUGUCUUCUCAAUUCAUGACAAUACAAAUAUAAAUUGUUUGUGAUAUUUUAGAUGUUCAGUAAAUUUCUUUUGGAUCUGAUUAAUUUUUGCUCUAGGCACAAGUAAAGUCGUUUCAAUAUGCAUUUGUCAAGUUAAUUGUGUCUUUUACGGUAUGGCUUGACCCACAUGUUCCUCUCUGUUUCUCAUUUGAAUAAUCAGUUUUUCCUGAUUGGUAUUCACUACUGUUAUUUCAUAUACUGCUUGAAAAAUUCUCAAAUUCUUUGAACUUGUGUUUAGUGCUCUAGUUGCUCUCUGUUAAUUCAGAUUUGGAUAAUUAGUUGUCCUGUUUCAGUAUUACUUAACUGUAUUCCUUAAAUUGGUUAGAUAUAGUUUUGCUGAAUGUAUAACGAUUGCUAGUACCUUCGUGAAAUGGUUUUGAAUCUGUUUGUGUAAUGUCAAAGCCAGAAGCCGAGAACGUAGCAAAAGUUAAGAUGGUUAAGAGUCUUUUAGGUAUGUUGUGUGCCUUCAGCUUCUCGUUUAUGUCUCAGAAUGCCUUCAUGCUAAUGAGAUGACUUUAUUUUGUAGGUGAACUAUUACAGUUGGCCUCUUGAAAUUCUAUUAUCAUUUAUACAUUUUCGACAUUGAAGCAGAGGAGGUGACUUGCACCGAGCUUGUUUUUACGUUCGAGGACAGAAAUUCCACAUACCUGAAAGCUUGGGAGAUAAAAGAAUGUGGGAUACUUUUAACUUCGGAGCGUCAUAUUGAUGACUUAUGAGAGCUUGGGAGAACCACACACCCUUAGCCCACGCGCAGGCUGGUUUUGUCACUCUGAUGUGUUUCCAAGUCUCACCAGUAGAGAAGUUUUUCUUAAAACCUGACGUCCGCUACAUUUCGUCUGCUUCUCGAUUUUGCCUCUUCUAUCCCAGCUUCAAUUCUGGUCAAUAAAUCCACACGGUGUCUCCUACUACGUCGAGUCAGAAACACGUCUUCCAUAGUCAUAGUCUUAGUAAAUCCCAGAUCAAUGCAUCCUCUGUCGCCCAAAACGUCGAAAAGAGGUCCCACGGAGGACUUGUGAUCAUACCAAAAAGAAGUGUUCUUACCACUUUGAAUUUCCAUCUUGUGGAAACUUUUUGCUAUCUCUUUCAGUUUGAAUAACAAAAAGAACCUUGGUAAGAAGAUUCUUUGACUGCCCAAAACGAGUUUUGCCAGAGGAGAUAAGUCUGAAUCCAUUGUCUUUUAGAGAGUGUUUUGUGGAUUCAGCUUCUCGUUUAUGACGUCUAUAUGACUAAGAACUGUUACAAUUGUUUGUCAAACAUGUGAAGGUGAAGUUGAAGAUCUAAUUUACCUACUUAAGAAAUACUUAAUACAUUCUUUUGAUUUAUGUGUUUUGUUUGUCUUCUCCAUUCAUGGGCCAUGGCAACAUAUAAAAUAUGUUUGUGAUAUUAAGAUGUUGGUUAAAAAUUCUUUUGAUUUAUGUGUUUUGUUUGUGAUAAACACAUAUAAAAAAUGUUUUUGAUAUUUAGAUGUUCGUUAAUAAUUCUUUUGGACAAAUAUGCAUUUGCCAAGUGAAUUGUGUCUUUUACGAUAUGGCAGAAGAGAAAUCACACAACUAUAUGUCAACUUUAACAAAAUGGAGAUUUAGACAAAGCUCUUCUCUUAUUACAUGAACAUGGCACAUUACACUAGAUAUCACAUCCACACAAGCUUUAUAAGACGAAAAAGGACUAAUUUUUUUUAAUAACGCCAACCAAAACUUGAUUCAAGCAAGAAGUCCAAAAAAAUUCCAUUUUCCUGAAUAAAAAAUAAUAAUUUAGAUGGAAUGUGAUAAAGACUGAAAUCAAUAAAAAGAAAGACAAAUACCUUGCGCAUUAGUAGCAGGAGGACUAGCAGGAGACACUGCAACCAAAACAAAACAAAACAAAAAUCUCUAUUAAUCAGAUAAUCAUAUAACUACAAAAGGAAUUAAAUCAUAAUCCAUAAAAAAUCAAGAAGAAAUCUAACAUGCACCACAAGCUGCCACCGGAGGAGCAUAAACUUUACAAGCAUCGGGAAGAGUAGUAGCCUUAGUAACGUUAAGUUUGAUUCCGUAAGAGGCAGUGUUCUUCAACCCUUCGCAUCAGUGCCGGCCCGGUAAAUUUGGGUGCCCUAAGCAAAAUUAAAGCCAUAAAAAAAAAAUUCUUUUAAAUUAGAUUUUUACCAUUAAAAAAAAUGUUGUAGUUGUCUCUAAAAGCCAACAAUAUUUUUAAAAGGCCCUACAAAAAUUAUUGUAUAUAAGGAAAACUUAACAAGUUUUUAGGUAAAAAGGCCCUCAAAUUUUGAGGCCCUAAUCGGUGGCUUCGGUGGCUUGCCCUCUGCGCCGGCCCUUCUUCGUAUAGACAUUCCGGUUCCGUAUCGAGGAUAUUCUUGAGACUGGAGCAGCACGAAUUUGAGGGUGUAUCCAUCGUACUCCCGAUCGUUAUAAAUGAUAAACAUGGGAACAGGGGAACAACAAGGGUACACCCGGAGGCUGGUAUAAUGUUUCCAUGAACAUAAGGAGAGGAAACAGAGAGGACUAGGAGGAGAAGAGAUGUUGCUGCGGAGAAGAAAGCCAUUGUUUUGGUUCUCUGUUUUGGUUACUGCUUAAGAAUCUAGAGAGAAGAAAAUGAGAAUUGUGGUAGAGAAUGAGUGAAAUGUGCUGUGUUUAAAUAUGGGUUUGAGUGAUAAAGACGACGUCGUUUUGGUGUACACGUCAUGUGUAACUUGUAAUUUUUUGGUUCUUUUAGUGUAAGAUUCUGCUCAUUUUUAUUUGGAUUUUAUCCUAUAUUAAGAGCUUUUUAUCAUUGAAAUUAAAGUUGUUACCAAAAUGAUUAGAUUUGUUAGAAGAAUACAGAAGAAAAAAAAAAAGUAGAAAAAUAAAAAUGUAAUUUCUAAAAACGUUGGUGAAAAAAAUAAAAAAAAAUUUCUUAAAACGCUUUUCUAAGUAGAAGGAUUUGUAUUCAUACUUUGCUUUGCUGUAUGUAUUUCUUAGAUUUUGUUUUUUUUCUGCUGUAACCUUCUGUCAAAAUCUAUAAAUGGUAUAAAACUUAACAUUCAUACCAAAAAACAAAAGUUUAUAUGCUAAGAUAUUUAUUUUUUUUAUGUUAAAGUUGCUAAGAUUUUCUUUUUAACUGUCUUGGUUUAUAUGUCUUGGUUCUGAGUCUUUUCGAGAGUGUUGUGUGGAUUCAGCUUCUCGUUUAUGUCGUCUGUAUGACUAAGAACUGUUACAAUUGUUUGUCAAACAUGUAAUAAACUUGAAGGUGAAGUUGAAGAUCUAAUAUACCUACUUAAGAAACAGGUACAAGACUUAUACAUUCCUUUGAUUUAUGUGGUUUGUUUGUCUUCUCCAUUCAUGGCAACACAUAUACAAAAUGUUUGUGAUAUUUGCCAAGUGAAUUGUGUCUUUUACGAUAUGGCAGAAGAGAAAUCACACAACUAUAUAUCAAAUUUAACAAAAUGGAGAUUUUGACAAAGCUCUUCUCAUAUUACAUGACCAUGGCACAUUACACUAGAGAUCACAUCCACACAAGCUUUAUAAGACGAAAAGGGACUAAAUAUUUGUUAUAACGCAGACCAAAACUUGAUUCAAGCAAGAAGUCCAAAAAAAUUCCAUUUCCCUGAACAUAAAAUAAUAAUUUAGAUGGCAGGAUUAAACAUUAUAAUAAGUUAUCAAGAAUGAAAUGUGACUAAGAAUGAAAUCAAUAAAAAGAAAGACAAAUACCUGGCGCAUUAGCAGCAGGAGGACUAGCAGGAGACACUGCAACCGAAACAAAACAAAGUUUCUAUUAAUCAGAUAAUCAUAUAACUACAGAAGAAAUUAAACCAUAAUCUGAUUUAUCGUAAGGAUCAUAAUCCAUAAAAAUCAAGAAGAAAUACAGAGAGAUGAAGGAGAAAUCUAACAUGCACCACAAGCUGACGCCGGAGGAGCAUUAACUUUACAAGCAACGGGAAGAGUAGUAGCCUUAGUAACAUUAAGUUUUAUUCCGUAAGAGGCACUGUUCUUCAACCCUUCGCAUAGACAUUCCGGUUUCGUAUCGAGAAUAUUCUUGAGACUGGAGCAGCACGAACUUGAGGGUGUAUCCACCGUACUCCCGAUCGUUAUAAAAGAUAAACAUGGUAACAGGGUAACAACAAGGGUGGUGCACUCGUCGGCUGGUACAAUGUUUCCAUGAACAUAAGGAGAGGAAACAGAGAGGACGAGGAGGAGAAGAGAUGUCGCAGCGGAGAAGAAAGCCAUUGUUUUGAUUCUCUGUUUUGGUUACUGCUUAAGAAUCUAGAGAGAAGAAAAUGAGAAUUGUGAUAGAAUGAGUGAAAUGUGUUGUGUUUAAAUAUGGGUUUAAGUGAUAGAGACGACGUCGUUUUUAUGUACACGUCAUGUGUUAACACGUCAUUUUUUGGUUCUUUCUGUGUAAGAUUCUGCUCAUUUUUAUUUGGAUUUUAUCCUAUAUAAAGAGCUUUUUAUCAUCGAAAUUAACGUUAUUACCAAAAUGUUUAGAUUUUAAAGAAGAAAAAAAAAAAAAAACAGAAAAAUAAAAAUGUAAUUUCUUAAAACGCUUUUCUUAAAGUAGAAAGAUUUGUAUUCAAACUUUGCUUUACUGUAUAUACUACUUAGAUUUUGUUUUUUUCUGCUGUAAUCUUCUGUCAAAAUCUAUAAAUGGUAUAAAACUUAACAUUUAUACCAAAAAAACAAAAGUUUAUAUGCUAAGAUUUUCUUUUUAACUAACUUGGUUUAUAUGUUUAAAGACUAAUUAAUUAAAUAUAGUAAACAAGUUUUAUCAUUUUGCAUACAAUUAUUCAGUGGGUCAGUUUCUCAUUGUAUUUAAGAUAAGAGAUUGGUUCGGUUUGCACAAAAAAAUGGAGAUUGGUUCAAACUUCAAAUGUUGAAACCUGCGUGUUGUUGUUAUUGAAUUUAAAAAAUUAAAAAACUUUUUUUUUUCUUUCUCAAUGUCAAAACUAUGAGUUCUUUCGCAUAAAGAAUGAAAACAAAAUUAAUGUAACAAAAAUAGUUAAAGAAUAUCACAUAUUUUCGAUAUCUUUCAAGAUUUGAAUAAUUAGUUUUUCCAGAUUUAGUAUUACUUAAUUCUAGUCCUGAAAUGUAGUUUUACUGAAUGUAUAACGAUUGCGCUUAACUUUGUGAAACGGGUUUGAAUAUGUUUUAAUAAUUAAUGCAAAGCGAGAACAUAGCAAAAAGUUAGAAUGGUUAUGAGUCUUUUAGAGUAUGUUGUGUGGCUUCAGCUUCUCGUUUAUGUUCUCGUAUGACCGAGGUCUGAGGACAUGCUAUUUUAUUUUAUAUGAAAUGACUUCUUUUUUUUGAUGAACUAUUACAAUUGGCCUCUUGAAAUUCAAUUAGUGUCAUGUUAAAAAAAAAGUAAAAUCUAAAUGGGACUAAAAAAACAACUAUUGAAUAAGGGGUACUGGGUGGCAAGGGACCUAAACAUUACAACAAGUGCAACUGUUUGGAGUAGUGUUUGACAUAAGAGUAGAAGGGGUUUACAAGUUAUCUCCUAGUAGAAAGCCAAAAGAAGAAUAAAUCACCAUAUUUUGCAUUCCCGGAAGAUGGGAAUGUUCGUGUUGAUGUUUUUCCAAGGCUUGAUGUUGUUUGAGGUUCUUUACCAUGUCUUUUGUUAUUUCUCUCCCUCCAUAUGGUAUGGACUGCAAUUUGAAACGUUUAUCGCAGAAGUAAAAGAGCCUUCUUUUUGGUUGUCUCAUAUGUUAUGAGCAAAAUGAUUUGAUCCCAAUCCAGAAGUAUCUACAGGUGUGACUAUCUUGAAGUAUCCCUUUUACUAACUCCUCCCAUAUUUGUCUUGUAUACGGGCAUUGAAAGAAGAGGUGGUGUCUUGUCUCAACCGGUUCCUGACAAAACGCACAAGAUGUAUUCACUUGGGUCUUCCACUUCACCACUCGUUCACCUGUAGAUAAUUUGUCAUGCUUUGCAAGCCAUGUAAUAAAAGCGUAUUUAAGCGUAGCUUCAGAUUGUUCGAGUUUUUCAGGUCUUGAUUUAAGAAAUGAUCAAAAUUAUAACAAAAUUCAGAUUUAAUUGGAUUUGGUUUAAGUUUGGAUGAAAAUUUAGUUAAAUAAUGAUUAAUUAUAUGUAAUUCAUAUUAUAUUUUAAUAUAUGUUAAUUUUAUAUAUGAAAACUGAAAUAUUAACUGAAAUAUUUCGAUGUGGAAAUUUAUGUACUUUUCAUAGUAUUAUAAAAUUUGGUUUGGUUUCACCUUAGUAAAUUUUUGUGAUCGAACCAAAUAAACAUGUAUUAAUAUAUAUUCAUAUUCGGUUCGGUAUAAUAAUUUAUAGAUCACUAGUAACAAAAUUGGUUUGGUUUCACGUUGAUGAAUUUUUGUAACACAACCAAAUAAAACUUCAUUAAUUAACCUUUUUACAUCAUGACUAAAAAAAUUUCAAUUUAUUUAUAAAUUCUAAACUAGAAUUUCAGAAGAAAAUAUAUUAAAUUUCAAUUUUUCAUUGUGGUUUCUUUCAUAGAAUUAGAGUGUCAUAUGUCGUAACCAAUUGCUGAGUUAUUUAUUGGGUUCUGCAAAAAAAAAAAUAACUCUCCACCUCAAAAAUACAGAUAAAUCAUACGAAGUAAGAAAAAAAACAUAAUAUAAACUUUAUAUGUAUAUUGUAUAUGUUUUCACAAUCACAUACAAUAUAUAUUUUUUAGUUAUAAAUGUUGAGUUAAACUUCUCGUCGCGAAGGCUUCGAUUUAACAUAUUAAUCAUCAAAAUUUUACAAACUUGAGAGUAGCGGAAAAAUGUUAUAUUGCGUAUUAUAUUUAACUUCGUAGGAUUAAUUUGCAUUUUUGUAGGUGAAGAUAAAUUUGCAAAAAGUGGCUAGUUUGAAGAUUUUUAUUACGGAGACGGUAAGGUAUGAAAGUCAGUUGUUGCAAAUAAAAUGACCAAUUAAAUUUCUGAAAGGAAAUAUCAAGAAAUUUGAGAGUAUAAAUUAGAUGGAGAGAGAGAGAGAUAGCAAAUUUAGGAAUGUGAAACAAAGUCAACUGUUAAUGAGGGAUGUUUCCUCAUUAACAAAACCUUUUGGGAAUAACUCUUACUUAGUCUAAGCUAUAUUUUAAAUUUUAUGAGCAAUUGUGUUUUGUUUUGAGCUGUCAUGCUCUGUUUUCUGUUUUUGAAUCUUUCCUUUGAUUUUUAAUGUAGUUUACGAAAAAUUCGUACAGAACCGCUUCAUAUCACAUAUGUAAACAACAUUUUUCAUGAAUGGCUUUUUUGAGCUCUAAUUAAUUUCGGAUGACAAAAAAAAAAAAAAUGUAGUUUCAAAGCCCCCAGCGAAACACUAUGGAAAAUCUCCAAACGUUACUUCCUUUGUCAACUCUUGAUUUUGCGUAUAAGAAAAAGUCAUGAGAUUAAUAAGCCAAUCAAUCGGAUAUUUUGGAAUUUUUUUUCCUUUGUAGUAAGGUGAAAUAAUUGGUCGGUUGCAUUUUCUUAUUCAAACUAAAUUUCUCGGAGGAAAUAUCAAGGAAAUUCUAAAGAUAUUGUAUGUCAACGUUCUAGGCCUAUAUACAUUCAAGUUUUAAUCCUUACCCCCCAUUUAACUCUGUUAAAGAUAUUGUAUGUCAACGUUCUAGGCCUAUAUACAUUCAAGCUUUUUCCUCUUCUUAUUCUUCUGCUCCUUCGAUUCCUUCAUCUUCUUCGUCUCAAAACUGGGAGUACGAUGUCUUUCCCAGCUUCCACGGGAAAGAUGUACGCAAAGCCUUUCUCAGCCACGUUCUAAAGGAGUUUGGAAGAAAAGCAAUCAACUUUUUUGUUGAUAACGAGAUCAAGAGAGGAGAAUUCAUCGGUCCUGAACUCAAACGUGCGAUCAAAGGAUCUAAGAUUGCUCUUGUCUUGCUCUCCAAGAAUUACGCUUCUUCGUCAUGGUGUCUUGACGAAUUGGCGGAGAUAAUGAAGCAAGAGUCUGGUCAAACGGUGAUUACCAUUUUCUAUGAAGUAGAUCCAACGGAUGUGAAGAAGCAGAAGGGAGACUUUGGGAAGGUCUUCAAAAAAACUUGUAAAGGUAAAGACAAGGAGAAGAUUAAGACUUGGAGGAAAGCUUUGGAGGAUGUGGCCACAAUCGCAGGUUACCAUUCAAGCAACUGGUUCGUGUUCUUGAUUUAGCUUUUAAUAUUUCUAACUCAUCAUACUAUGUAGCAUACGAAACUGUAUGUAUACAAGAGAUUCAUAACUUUUGAACGUGUAUGUUAGUUCUUAGUGAUUAUUUAUUAACAAGAUGUAUGUAUGAAUUGUUCUUCGUCUUUGUUAGGGUUGAUGAAGCAGCCAUGAUUGAAAACAUCGCUGCUGAAAUUUCGAACAAGCUUAAUCAUUUGACACCAUUACGUGAUUUUGACUGUUUAAUUGGGAUGGAAGCUCAUAUGAAAAGGAUGGAACAGUAUUUACGUCUAGACUUGGAUGAAGUGAGGAUGAUUGGGAUUUGGGGUCCGCCUGGGAUUGGGAAGACCACAAUUGCCAGGUUUCUGUUUAACCAAGUUUCCAGCCGUUUCCAGAAUAGCGCACUCAUUGAGGACAUCAAAGGAAGCUAUCCGAAACCUUGUUUUGAUGAGUACAACGCAAAGUUGCAACUACAAUAUAAAAUGUUGUCUCGGAUGAUCAACCAGAAAGAUAUCAUGAUCCCUCAUUUAGGAGUCGCACAAGAACGAUUGAGAAAUAGGAACGUGUUUCUCGUUCUUGAUGAUGUGGAUCGGUUAGCACAACUAGAAGCCUUGACCAACAAUGUUCAGUGGUUUGGUCCUAGAAGUCGGAUUAUCAUCACAACAGAAGAUCGAAGUCUUUUGAACGCACAUGGGAUCAACCAUAUAUACAAGGUUGGUUUUCCAUCAAAUGAUGAGGCUCUUCAAAUGUUCUGCAUGUAUGCUUUUGGUCAAAAGUCCCCUAAAGACGGUUUUUAUGAACUUGCGCGUGAAAUUACAUACCUUGUCGGUGAACUUCCUUUAGGACUAAGGGUUAUUGGAUCCCACUUUCGUGGAUUGUCCAAGGAGCAGUGGUCAAUGGAAAUAUCAAGGUUAAGGACUAACCUUGAUGGAGAUAUUGAGAGCAUUUUGAAGUUCAGUUAUGAUGCUUUAUGUGAUGAAGAUAAAGAUUUAUUCCUUCAUAUAGCUUGCUUUUUCAACAACGAAAAUAUAAACAAAUUAGAAGAAUUUAUUGGCCAAAGAUUCAAGGAUUUGAGUCAAAGGCUAUUGGGAGAACCGGAGAUCGACCGAGAUCGACGAUCGAGAUGAUCGCCCAAGAUUACUCUCAUCAAUACCAUGAUAUCUUUACGUUUUAGAGGAGAAAUCUCUCAUAUCUAUUGAAAGAUUUCUUGAAUAUGUGAGUAUAAAAAUGCACAAUUUGCUGGCCCAACUAGGUAAAGAAAUCGUCCGUAAAGAAUCUCGUGAGCCUGGGCAACGCCGAUUUUUGUUUGAUAAUAAAGAUAUUUGUGAAGUAGUCUCUGGUUAUACAACUGUAAGUCUUUCCAUUAUUCUUUCAUUGCAGUGCUCACCAUAACUUGAGUCUAUUUUAUCAUCUCUACUUAUCUUUGGGUCUUUUUUCUCAGAAUACUGGAAGUGUUGUAGGCAUAAACUCCAAUUAUGGGUUAAAUAUAACUGAGAGAGCCUUUGAAGGAAUGCCUAAUCUCCAGUUCUUAAGAGUCGGAUACAAUACUCAUCAUCCAAACAUUAUAUCUUCUUCAGGACCUCUAAUUUUUAUAUCUCCGAAGCUACGAUUAAUAGAUUAGUGGUUUUUCCCGAUGACAUCUUUCCCUUUUAUUAAUAAUCUGGAAUUCCUUGUCGAAUUAAGUAUGCGUUAUAGCAAACUUGAGAAGCUGUGGGACGGAAUCAAAGUAAGUAAUUUAAAUUUUUUAAUUGUUUUAAAUUUUAGUUUUGUAUGUAGAAUAUCCUCUCUUGUACAUUAAAUUAACUUGAAAAAUUAUAUUUUACUUGCUACUUCGUUUCUAGCAUGAAAAUAUAUACAUUUUUUAAAUUUUAUGUGUUCAAUUGCUAAGUGUAUCAAAGUAAUUGUCUAUUUUGUCAUUAUUCUCCUUUACAGCUGCUUCGAAACCUCAAGUGUAUGGAUUUGGCAAAUUCUGAAAACCUGAAGGAGCUUCCUAAUCUCUCAAUGGCCACUAGUCUUGAGGAGUUAAACCUUGAAGGAUGUUCAAGUCUGGUGGAGCUCCCUUCUUCUGUUGGUAAUUUAACUAAUCUCCAGAAAUUAUCACUUGAAGGAUGCUCAAGGCUUGUAUCACUCCCACAGCUUCCAGAUUCCCCAAUGGUCCUAGAUGCAGAAAAUUGUGAGUCCCUAGAGAAACUAGAUUGCUCCUUUUACAAUCCAUGUAUUCAUCUCAACUUCGCUAACUGCUUCAAACUAAAUCAAGAAGCAAGAGAUCUCCUCAUCCAGACAUCAACUGCUAGAUUGGUGGUCUUACCCGGUAAAGAAGUUGAUACUUGCCACUUCGUUUAAUAUAGAUUAACUUGAAAGAUUAUAUUAUACUUGCCACUUCGUUUCUAGCAUGAAAAUGUAUCUUUUAAAAUUUUUGUGUUCAAUUGCUAAGUGUAUCAAAGUAAUUGUGUAUUUUGUCAUUAUUCUCCUUUACAGCUGCUUCGAAAUCUCAAGCGUAUGGAUUUGGCAUAUUCUGAAAACCUGAAGGAACUUCCUAAUUUCUCGAUGGCCACUAGUCUUGAGCAUUUAGAUCUUAGAGGCUGUUUAAGUCUGGAGGAGCUCCCUUCUUCUAUUGGAGAUUUAACUAAUCUAUGGAAAUUAGAUCUUAGAGGCUGUUUAAGUUUGGUGGAGGUCCCUUCUUCUAUUGGGGAUUUAACUAAUGUUUGGGAAUUAUAUCUUAGUGAAUGUUUAAGUUUGGUGGAGCUCCCUUCUUCUAUUGGGAAUUUAACUAAUCUCCAUGCAUUAGUACUUAAAGGAUGUUCAAGUCUAGUGGAGCUCCCUUCUUCUAUUGGGAAUUUAACUAAUCUCCAUAAAUUAUCACUUGAAGGAUGCUCAAGGCUUGUAUCACUCCCACAGCUUCCAGAUUCCCUAAUGGUCCUAAAUGCAGAAAAUUGUGAGUCCCUAGAGAAACUAGAUUGCUCCUUUAGCAAUCCGGGUACUUGGCUUAACUUUUCUUACUGCUUCAAACUAAAUAAAGAAGCAAGAGAUCUCCUCAUCCAGACAUCAUCUGUUAACGUUGUGGUCUUACCCUGUAAAGAAGUGCCUGCGUGCUUCACUUACAGAGGUUAUGGGAAUUCCGUAACAGUGAAGUUGAAUCAAAAGCCUCUUCCUACAUCAAUUAAAUUUAAGGCUUGUUGAAGGUUAUGGGUCGGUGUUUUGUUGCAUCAGAGACAAACUGAAUCGUUUCUCAGUCCACUCUCCAAUUAUAACGGAGCAUCUAUACAUUUUCGAAGUUGAAGUAGAGGAGGUGACUUCCACCGAGCUUGUUUUGGAUUUCGAGAUCUUCGAUUACGAUUCCAAGACUAGGGAGAUAAUAGAAUGCGGGAUAAUCCACAUCUUGGAACAUCAUGUUGAUGGCGACGAAAAGAUGGCGAUGAAGAUGGAGACAAUGUAGAUCUGAGACAAACAUUGAAACUCAAGUGAAACAGAGAAGCCACAAGACAAAAUUGCAAGGACGAAUGGUAAGUUUGCAUUUUCACAACUCAAGAACUUACUUUGUUGAUAAACUUUGCAUAACAACUGUUCAAUGAAAUGUCUAAGUGAGCUUUUUAAGUUUAAAGUGACAAUAGCUAGAACUGCAAUCUCCAAAAUGAUUUUUGAAUUCAAUCGUGUAGGGUUUAGAGCUGGAGCUUAAGAAACUCUUGAAGGUGAAGUUGAAGACGUCCAUGAAGAUCUAUUUAAGAAACAGGUACAAAACUUAUACAUUCUUUUGAUUUAUGUGUUUUGUUUGUCUUCUCAAUUCAUGACAAUACAAAUAUAAAUUGUUUGUGAUAUCUUGCUCUAGGCACAAGUAAAGUCGUUUCAAUAUGCAUUUGUCAAGUGAAUUGUGUCUUUUACCCACAUGUUCCUCUCUGUUUCUCAUUUGAAUAAUCAGUUUGUUCCUGUUUCAGUAUUGCUUAAUUCUAUUCCUGAAAUUCGUUAGAACAUAGCAAAAGUUAAAAUGGCUCUGAGAUUUUAGAGUAGGCUUCUAGUUUAUGUUCUCUGUAUGAAUGAAGACAUGCUAUUUUAUUCUAUAUGAAUAGGUGAACUAUUCCAUUUGGCCUCUCAAGUUUCACAAUUCUUGAUUUUGCUGCAACUUUUUUUGUAGCAUAUAUUGGCCUCUUGAAAUUUAGUUAUCUUUAAUUAAGGUUUAAUAAAAGUAAAAUCUGUAUGGGACUAAGAAGAACAAGUAUUGAAUGAGGUUUAUUGGGUGACAAGGCACCUAUAUAGGAACUUGACAAGUGUAAUGGAUUUGCUCAUUCUAUUAGACGGUGUAACCGAAUCAAGAUGUUGGAUUGUGUUGUAUUAGGUAGCGAAUAUGGGCGGUUACGGACAAAUGAAUUCGAAAUUUGGUGAUAGAAUUGGAAAUGUGGAUGCCAUUGAUUUUCCAAUGCAAAGCAGAAGAAUCUCAGGAGGUCUUUUCUCUUUUUUCUUGACAAGAAGUUUCAACAGCCAUUUCCACUUCCAAUUCUUAUCGAUAAUAUUCAAUUUCAACUGAAAACGAAGAACUCGUGGCUAAUUAUAUGCUGACAAAGUAUGUUAUCUUUCAUGUUAGGUGAUGUGUAAAAUUUUGUUCACUCAUUUAACUUGUAAUUAGUCUCCUAUUACAUAUAAUUUAUAAUAGACUCUAGUUAUAGGAAUCCGAACUAAAUUUCUCUUGAUAAAAAUAUGAUCGUGGUGUUCCUCGUGUUUAACAAAUUGCAAACUAUUAACUUUCAACAGAGUUGUGUGACUUGAGAAAAACAGAGGACUUUGUUGGUAUGAAGUCUCAUAGUAUAAACAGAAGACUCUGUUUCACACAGUUACGAAAAAAUCUGUAGAAAUCAAACCUUUUGUACAGAAGCAAGAAUUUUGUAACCUUCUUAGCUACAUAACAUUAACAUUGGAUCUUUAUACUCUUUGGAUUUUUCAUAAAACGACAUGAAUAUAUGUCCUCAAUACGAAACAUAGCCUGAUGCAUUAUCUCGUCGGCGCAUGUGAACUUAGAUUUAAGUCUAUAGAAUCCGUUUUUGCUAUUAAAAAAUCCAAAACCCUCUUAGAAAUAUGAUUCAACAAAUCCAAAAUCAACUAGGAAAUAUCCAUAAGCAAUAGAAACUUUCCAAGGAAUGACUUAUCUGCAUAGCCAAAUGUUAGUAUUCAGUAAUAUGAAUCAUCACUUAUGAGAUUGUUUGGUAUGAACCUUACUUUUCCUUAGAAUAACAUUUAUAUUUUCUUUAGAAGUGUCUCUGAAGUGAUUAGCUGUUAAAGAGUAAAUAGCUACAAAUUCCGUUAAUAGUGGAGGGACAAUGAUUACUCUCAUAAACCUUUAUGUUCACAGAAAUUUAUUUAUAAAGAUUAAUUGAUGGUUCUGAGUCUUUUAGAGAGUGUUGUGUGGAUUCAGCUUCUCGUUUAUGUCGUCUGUAUGACUAAGAACUGUUAUAAUUGUUUGUCAAACAUGUAAUAAACUUGAAGGAGUUGAAGAUCUAAUUUACCUACUUCAGAAAUAGGUACAAAACUUAAUUAAUCGAUACAUUCUUUGAUAUAUGUGUUUUGUUUGUCUUCUCAAUUCAUGGCAAUACAUAUAAAAAAUGUUUGUGAUAUUUAGAUGUUCAGUAAAAACUCUAGGCACAAAGUAGAGCCGUUUCAAUAUGCAUUUGCCAAAUGAAUUGUGUCUUUUUUGAUAUGGCAGAAGAGAAAUCACACAGUUACAUGUCAAAUUUAACAAAAUGGAGAUUUUGACAAAGCUCUUCUCAUAUUACAUGAUCAUGACACAUUACACUAGAGAUCACAUCCACACAAGCUUUAGUAUUUUAUCUUGUUGAAAUUGAAAUUAUCAUAAGACGAAAAAGGACUAAAUUUUUAUUAAGAAGACAAUUGACUUUUACAAUUCACCUACUAUGUUAUAACGCCAACCAAAACUUGAUUCAGGCAAGAAGUCCAAAAAAAUUCCAUUUCCUUGAACAAAAAAUAAUAAUUUAGAUGUCAUGAUAAAAAGCAGAUUAAAUUUUGCUCUGUUUUCUGUUUUUGAAUCUUUCCUUUGAUUUUUAAUGUAGUUUAGACGGCAAAAAAAAAAAAUUAUUACUUCCUCCAGCGAAAGAGGGCUGUUUCAAAGCCUCCAGCGAAACACUAUGGAAAAUCUCCAAACGUUACUUCCUUUGUCAACUCUUGAUUUUGCAUAUUGGCAAAAGUCAUGAGUAUAAUAAUAAACGUAUCAAUCGGAUAUUUUGAAGUUUUUUAAUCUUUGUAAUAAGGUGAAAUAAUUGGAUGGGUUGCAUGCAUUUUCUUAUUCAAAUUAAAUUUCUCAGAGGAAAUAUCAAUUCUAAAGAUAUUUUAUGUCACGUUCUAAGCCUAUAUACAUUCAAAUUUUAAUCCUUACCCCUACAUAACUGAAAAUUCUUCUAUCGAUCAUAGUAAUGGCUUUUUCUUCUUCUUCUUCUUCUCUUUCGAUUCCUUUAUCUUCUUCGUCUCAAAACUGGGAGUACGAUGUCUUUCCCAGCUUCCACGGGAAAGAUGUACGCAAAACCUUUCUCAGCCACCAACUGAAGGAGUUCGGAAGAAAAGCAAUCAACUUUUUUGUUGAUAACGAGAUCAAGAGAGGAGAAUUCAUCGGUCCUGAACUCAAACGGGCAAUCAAAGGAUCUAAGAUUGCUGUUGUCUUGCUCUCCAAGAAUUACGCUUCUUCUUCGUGGUGUCUUGACGAAUUGGUGGAGAUCAUGAAGAAAGAGUCGGGUCAAACGGUGAUUACCAUUUUCUAUGAAGUAGAUCCAACUGAUGUGAAGAAGCAGAAGGGAGACUUUGGGAAGGUCUUCAAAAAAACUUGCAAAGGUAAAGGCAAGGAGAAGGUUCAGACAUGGAAGAAAGCUUUGGAGGGUGUGGCCACAAUCGCGGGUUACCAUUCAAGCAACUGGUUCGUUUUCUUGAUUUAAAUUCACUUGAUUUUAAUAUUUCUAACACAUCAAACUAUAUUUGUAGCAUUCAUAGUGAUUAGUUAUUAACAAGAUGUAUGUAUAAAGUGAUCUUCCUCUUUGUUAGGGUUGAUGAAUCAACCAUGAUUGAAAACAUCGCUGCUGAAAUUUCGAACAAGCUCAAUCAUUUGACGCCGUCACGUGAUUUUGACCAUUUAAUUGGGAUGGGAGCUCAAAGUCUAUUUGUUAGUCCUUACUUUCACAUAGCUCUAUUAUUAGAUCUCUGAUCUUAAAUCUUCUCUCUAUCGUAGCAAUGGCUUCUUCUGCUCUUUCGAUUCCUUCAUCUUCUUCGUCUCAAAACUGGGAGUACGAUGUCUUUCCGAGCUUCCACGGGAAAGAUGUACGCAUAACCUUUCUCCGCCACAUUCUCAAGGAGUUUGGAAGAAAAGCAAUCAACUUUUUUGUUGAUAACGAGAUCAAGAGAGGAGAGUUCAUCGGUCCUGAACUUAAACAGGCGAUCAAAGGAUCUAAGAUUACUCUUGUCUUGCUCUCCAAGAAUUACGCAUCUUCGUCGUGGUGUCUUGAUGAAUUGGUGGAGAUCAUGAAGAAAGAGUCGGGUCAAACGGUGAUUACCAUUUUCUAUGAAGUAGAUCCAACGGAUGUAAAAAAGCAGACCGGAGAUUUUGGGAAGGCCUUCAAAGAAACUUGUCAAGGUAAAACUGAGGAGAAGGUUCAGACAUGGAAGGAAGCUUUGGAGGGUGUGGCCACAAUCGCAGGUUACCAUUCAAGCAACUGGUUAGUGUUCUUGAUUUCCACUUUCUUUUAAUUCUAACACAUCAAGCCAUAUAUCUUUAAUUGUAACGUUCGAACUGAAUGUAGACAAGAGAGUCAUAAUUGAUCUUGCUCUUUGGUAGGAUUGAUGAAGCAACCACGAUCGAAAAGAUUGCUGCUGAUAUUUUAUUGGAGAUAAGCAAGAUGUGUAUCUUGCGGACCAAGUAAUAUGGACCGUUAAAGUCCAUUAUGAAGUGAAGCCCGUGAAGCCUAAACCGAAGAAUAUUCUAGAUCUCUAUAUUACUUCUUGUACAAGUUAUUUACUUAUAUGUUUAGGAAAGUUUACAUUAUGUGGGUGUUAACAUUAUGUUAAUGUUAACACUAUAUAUAUGUAUCUUAUAUUUUCAUAUGAGAGAAAACUCAAUAAAGUAUUUUAUAGAUUCUAUAAUAUUUGACAUGGUAUCAGAGCAGUCGAUCCUUGUGGAUCUGAAUUAAAUGCUUCCGCAUUAAAAAUCUUGUGGUCACAAUAACCAUGGGAUGUGAAGCCAUCGAAGACGGUGGUGACGAAGACGAUCCGGAUGAUGACGUGAAGCAAAGUUUGCUUUGACGUCCACAUGAGAGUUUUAUAUUUCUUUUAUUCUAAGUUAAUGUUUUAGGUUGAUUUUGAGUUUAUGAUUUGGUUUAGCACAAGAAUUAGAGAUCUUUGAGGAAUUAUUAUGUUUUAAGGGUUUGGGAUUUCACAAGUAGUUGUUUAUUUAUGAGAUUUAUUCUUGAGUUUAGAAUAUCUCAUUUUUUUAAUGUGAGUUUUGAUUUCUCAUAUUACGGGGGAGUUUAUUGGAACACUCAUGUUUUAGGCUAUUUUUAGUCCGGUUUGUGGACUGUCCGAGAUAGGACGAUUAUUUGUGGAGUUGCAGGAUUUGCGCCCACGGAAUAUUGUUAUUCCCUUUUACUAAGACCAAAGACGAGCUGAAGUUCCAUCCUCUUUUGAAAAUUGAAGUUUAUACCUGAGGAGACUGUUGACAUGAUUUGUCCGUCCUCGACAUGAUGUCCACGACAUAGGUGUUCUGCUUUGUCGUUGCAUAUUUUGCGUUUCGCAUCCCACCUUUGUCGUGCGGGGGAGUAUUGGAGAUAAGCAAGAUGUGUAUCUUGCGGACCAAGUAAUAUGGACCGUUAAAGUCCAUUAUGAAGUGAAGCCCGUGAAGCCUAAACCGAAGAAUAUUCUAGAUCUCUAUAUUACUUCUUGUACAAGUUAUUUACUUAUAUGUUUAGGAAAGUUUACAUUAUGUGGGUGUUAACAUUAUGUUAAUGUUAACACUAUAUAUAUGUAUCUUAUAUUUUCAUAUGAGAGACAACUCAAUAAAGUAUUUUAUAGAUUCUAUAAUAUUUGACAUAUUUCGAAAAUGCUUAAUCAUUUGACGUUGUCACGUGAUUUUGACCAUUUAAUUGGGAUGGAAGCUCAUAUGGAAAGGAUGGAACAGUUUUUACGUCUAGAUUUGGAUGAAGUGAGGAUGAUUGGGAUUUGGGGUCCGGCUUGGAUUGGGAAGACCACCAUCGCCAGGUUUUUGUUUAACCAAGUCUCAAGCAGUUUCCAAAAUAGCGCAAUAAUGGUAAAUAUCAAAGGAAGCUAUCCAAGACCUUGUCGAGAUGUGUACAAAGCAAAGUUGAAACUACAGAAAAAAAUGUUGUCCCAUAUGAUCAACCAGAAAGAUAUCGUGAUUUCUCAUUUAGGAGUCGCACAAGAACGAUUGAGACACAGGACAGUGCUUCUCGUGCUUGACGAUGUGGAUCAGUUUGCACAACUAGAAGCCUUGGCUAAAGAUGUUAAAUGGUUUGGUCCUAGAAGUCGGAUUAUCAUCACAACAGAAGAUCUAAGACUUUUGAAGAAGCAUGGGAUCAACCAUAUAUACAAGGUUGAUUUUCCAUCAAAUGAUGAGGCUCUUCAAAGGUUCUGCAUGUAUGCUUUUAACCAAAAGACCCCUGAAGAUGGUUUCGAUGCACUUGCUCGUGAAAUUACAUACCUUGUCGGUGAACUUCCUUUAGGACUAAAGGUUAUUGGAUCCCACUUUCGAAGAUUGUCCAAGGAGCAGUGGUCAAUGGAAGUAUCAAGGUUAAGGACUAACCUUGAUGGAGAUAUUGAGAGCAUUUUGAAGUUCAGUUAUGAUGCUUUAUGUGAUGAAGAUAAAGAAUUAUUCCUUCCUAUAGCUUGCCUUUUCAACCUAGUAGAUAUAAAGAUAUUAGAAGAACUUAUUGGCAAAAGAUUCAAGGAUUUGAGACGAAGGCUUUACGUUUUAGAGGAGAAAUCUCUCAUAUCUAUUGAAAUUUUGUUUGACUAUGGGUAUAUAAAGUAUGAGUAUAUAAUGAUGCAUAAUUUGAUGGCCCAACUAGGUAAAGAAAUCGUCCUUAAAGAAUUUCGUGAGCCUGGGCAUCGCCAAUUUUUGAAUGAUUAUAAAGAUAAUUGUGAAGUAGUCUCAAUAGUAAGUUUUGCCAUUAUUUUUUCAUUGCACUGCUCAUCAUAACUUGAGUUUAUUUUAACAUCUCUACUUAUUUUUUGUUCAUUUUUCUCAGAUUGUUGGGACUGUUGUAGGUGAGAAAACCUUUGAAGGAAUGCCUAAUCUCCAGUUCUUAAGAGUCGGAUACAUUCCUGAUCAUCCAAACAUUAUAUCUUCUUCGAAGCUAGAAUCACUAGAUUGGUCGUGUUUCCCGAUGACAUCUUUCCCUUUUAUUAAUAAUCUGAAAUUCCUUGUCGAAUUAAGAAUGUUAGACAGCAAACUUGAGAAGCUGUGGGACGGAAUCAAAGUAAGUCAUUUAAAUUUCUUUCUUGUUUAAAUUUUUUGUUUUGUAUGAAGAAUAUCCUCUCUUGUACAGUAAAUUAACUUGAAAGAUUAUAUUUUACUUGCCACUUCGUUUCUAGCAUGAAAAUGUAUAAUUUUUUUUUUUAAUUUUAUGUGUUCAAUUGCUAAGUGUAUCAACAUAAUUGUGUAUAUUUUGUCUUCAUUUUUCUUUACAGCUGCUUAAGAAUCUCAAGCGUAUGGAUUUGUCAAAUUCCAAAAACCUGAAAGAGCUUCCUAAUCUCUCAAAGGCCAUUAGUCUUGAGGAGUUAAACCUUGAAGGAUGUUCAAGUCUGGUGGAGCUCCCUUCUUCUGUUGGUAAUUUAACUAAUCUCCAGGAAUUAUCACUUGAAGGAUGCUCAAGGCUUGUAUCACUCCCACAGCUUCCAGAUUCCCUAAUGGUCCUAGAUGCAGAAAAUUGUGAGUCCCUAGAGAAAAUAGAUUGCUCCUUUUGCAAUCCGGGUAGUGAUGUCAUCUUCGCUAACUGCUUCAAACUAAAACAAGAAGCAAGAGAUCUCCUCAUUCAGACAUCAACUGCUAACUUGGUGGUCUUACCUGGUGAAGAAGUUCUUGCGUGCUUCACUUACAGAGGUUAUGGGAGUUCCGUAACAGUGAAGUUGAAUCAAAAGCCUCUUCCUACAUCAACCAAAUUUAAGGCUUGCAUCUUAUUUGGUAACAAGGGCGAAAAAGACGCUAUUUCUAUUUAUUGGGACACAACAUGUGUGUAUACCAAGAAGAAUAAGGGUUGCAUCUUGUUGGAUAAUAAAGGUGAACAUGAGGAACGAGGGUCGGUGUCUUGUUGCAUCAGAGACAAACUGGAUGGUUUCUUAUACCACUUGCCAAUUUUAGUGGAGCAUCUAUACAUUUUCGAAAUUGAAGUAGAGGAGGUAACUUCCACCGAGCUUGUUUUUGAUUUCGAGAUCUUCGAUGAGGAUUCCAGGACUAGGGAGAUAAAAGAAUGCGGGAUAAUCCACAUCUUGGAACAUCAUGUUGAUGGCGACGAAAAGAUGGCGAUGAAGACUAGAAGAAAACAUGUGAUUAGUGACUACAUUCGGCGACUGAUUAUGUAGUCACUAAAUUUUAGGACUGAAUUGCGAUUUUUUGGCGACUGAAUGUUGCAAAAGUUACAGUAGUCGCUAAUCCGUCUGCAUUUUGAGAAUGAUAAAAAUAGUCUUAAAAUAGUCGCCAAAUUCGGCGACGAAAAGGCUACGAAUGUUUUAGUCGCCAUAGAUGGCUACUGCGUAGCUACGAUUUAGCGACUAUCUUUUUCUUAUUGGGCAUAUUAAUUGGGCUCGAUCCCCAAUUCUCUCUCGAUCCAGUGACAUUCGGAGUUUGGCCCUAAUUCCCAUUUCUUUCAUUCUCUCGAUCCCUAAUUUCGUAAACCCUAAUUCUAUCCCCAAUUCUCGAUCACCAAAUCUCUCUCUCGAUCCUCAAUCCUUCAAUCUUUCAAUCUCUCAAUAUCUCUUUCAAUCUCUGUCUCAAUUCCUCUCAUCUCAAUCCGCAAACCCUAAUCCGCAAACCCUAAUCGGAUUCCUCUCAAUCUGCAAACCCUCGAUUCCUCUCUAAUCUCUCUCAAUCGAUGGCUCCUCGUGUUCGCGGUGGAAAAGGCAGGGGACCGAAGUCUCCGUACAAGUGACCCACUUGCCCAAGUCGACCUACAUCUUCCGGUGUGUCGCAUCGAAGACCUAGAAGCCUUUCCUCCCAAUAUGACUUCACGCCAGCGAACCCUCAAACUCCAAUUCCAGAGACUUAGCAAAAUCGGAGUUGCCAGCCUUCACCGGUUCCUACUCAGAGAGACUAUUCUCCUCCUCAGCAGCUUUUCCAGACAGAAGAAGUAUCCAUGCAUGCAUUUGCAUCUCCUCGAGGCUCUGGAUCGACUCCUUUUCGAGCAUCCGGAUCGACUCAAGUCAGAGUGUCUAUCUCCUCUGUUCAUCGGCUAGCCUCCGGAUCUCCUCGCGCUGUUCAGUUUCCAGCACCGGUUCAGUCUCCAGCCUUGAAUCAACAACGACCACCUCUUCAGGUACCAAGAGCUUCUGUGUCUGGUCAUAGUUCUCAAGCACAAAACGUACAUGAUGAAGAAGAUGAAGAAGGUGACGCUGAAGGUGAAUCAGACAAAGAAGGUUUGAGGGAUCCAACUCUCCCGGAAGAUGUGCUCGCUUCAUUAAAUGAUUUUCUUUCCAUGCCAAGCCGUGAGCUCUAUACCACUGUCAUCUCUCCGACAUUGGAGCCUGGAACGACUUGGUAGGUCAUAAUCUGUCUCCUCUGUUUAGGUUUAGGUCAGUUCGAGUUUGGUUUAGGUAUGUAUUGGUUUGUGUUUAGGUUUUAGGUCUGUAUUGGUUUGUGUUUAGGUUUAGGUUCAGUUUGUGUAUAGGUUUAGGUCUGUUUCUGUUAAGGUUUAGGUCGGUUUUUGUUUGUGUUAAGGUUUUAGGUCGGUAUUGGUUUGUGUUUAGGUUUAGGUAUAGUUUGUGUAUAGGUUUAGGUCUGUAUAGUUAAGGUUUAGGUCUGUUUUUGUUUGUGUUAUGGGUAUGUAUUGGUUUGUGUUUAGGGUUUAAGUUUAGGUAUAGUUUGUGUAUAGGUUUAGGUCUGUAUAGUUUGUGUAAUGUAUGGUUUGUAUAGGUUUAGGUAUGGUAUGUUUGUGUCAAGGUUUAGGUAUGGUCUGUUUGUGUGUAGAUUAUACUUAUGUUUAGGUCUAUUGGUGUAUAGAUUAUACUUAUGUUUAUGUAUGUAUUCUAGUGUAUAGGUCUGUUUGUGUAUAGCUAACUGUAUUAUAUUUUCUUGUAGGUUUGGUAAGGAUAAUGGUAAGCUGGCCCUAAAGAUCAUCAAAUGUUUUAUAAACAAGUUUGAUGGACCAUAAUACAGUUGGAGUUGUGUGCCAACUGGAAGAAGAGAAAGAUACUUUCUUGAAUUCGCGGUAAGCUUCUAUCCCUCUUCUACUACUGUAUUUCAUACUACUGUUUUGUUUUUUUGAUAACUAACAUCUGCUUCACUCUCCUCUUGUUUUGUAGAAACAACACACCAGGCAUCCCUCACUGGCAUGUGUGGUUGAAGCCAAGUUCUAUAAGAUCAUUGCACUGCGUAUGAAAGACAUGGUUUGUAAGGUAGGGACAAAAAGACUGAGGCCGUAUUGGAUUGAGAAAACUCUGUGGAAAGAGAUGUGUCAGUAUUGGGAUACUAAAAGAAGCAAUAGCCAAGAGUUCAACCACAUCAACAACUAGGAUGUCUGACCGUACUGGUCUUGGUCCUCACAAGCAUGUUUCUGGUCCAAAGUCUUUCCUACAAGUAGAGCAAAAGAUGGUAAGUUACUUCUCUUUUUCCCAAUUUGUUUUGUUUAGUUACAUUCUGACAUCUUUGUUACAACAUUGUAGGAAGUUAAAUUGGAAAGACCGCCUACAAUUGGAGAAGUGUUCAUCAGGACUCAUACCAAAAAGGAUGGGACAUUUGUGGAUAGGAAGGCGCAGGAAAUCCAUGAGGUAUAUCUCAAGAACAAGGCAGCUAAGUUGGCUGCCCUUCAUGUGAAUGAUGAACAGUCUGAUGGUACUUCGCGUCGGUCUGAGCUAUCUCAUGAGGAGGAUGAUGAGAUCUUUCUUCAGGUAAUACUCUUGUCUUUUGGUCUGCAGUCUACUUUUAUCAUAUUCAGUUUGUGAUCACCGGUUAAGGACUAAUUUUUUACUUUGUUUUGCAGUCUACUAUCACAAAUGAUAGAGGGGAAUACUUUGGAGUUGGAAGCUUAGGGGUUUACAUCAAUGGGAAGCGUAAGUACGCAGGAAGCAGCUCUUCUUUCACAACCCUGCAAUCACAGCUUGAGGAUGCUAACUACAAGAUGGAGGAAUAAGCAGCUUUACAACCAGAACGUGAAGCAGAGGCAUUGCGGGUUCCAGCAUCACAAGCAGUUGAGAUCAAGCACUUGACGAUGGUGAAGAAGUACUUGAGUGAAAUUGACCCUAAUUUUCUAGCAUUUCUCAAGUCCCAAUCAACUCCUGCUGUGGAUGAUCAUUCAGAGGUCCAAGCUACUACUCCUGCUGCAAAUCCUGAUGGUACUACUCUUGCUACUUAGCUUUCUCUCCUCUCAACUCAAAAACUUGAACUUGAUCUUUGGUUUGUACUUAUGGUAGAAGUAUGUUUUCUUUGUAUUGAACUGAAAUGUUUAUUAUGUUUUGUAUGUAUUGAACAAGUAUUGUGUGUUUGUAUGUUUAUUAAGCACUUCUUCUUUUAAUUCAAAAGUUCUUUUUGUAUGUUUGGUUUUGAUUAGUAAAUGCUAAUUCGUAAUUGGAAUCAAAAUAAGCAGGUCAAAUCGAUAAAUAAACCUCUAAUAAAUCACAAAGAGAUAGCAAUUCAGUUACCAAAACAUUCAUAAAACAGUCGCCUUGUAGUGGCCUUUUUGUUACUUCCUCAGUCACCUAUUAGUUGCCACAACAUUCGUCAAUUAGUGACAUGUUUGUAGCCAAACAGUCGCUCAUUUAGCGACUAAAAAGUGACCGAAUGGCGACUCCAAAGAGUUGGCGCGAUUGGUCGCUAAAUAGCGACUAUUAGGCUACCAUUAAUUUUAGCGACGAAUUGUUCAGCGACAACGUGUAUUAGUCGCUAAUUAGUCGUAAUGAUGGGUUUAGCGACUCUUUAGUUACGGUUUUUGUAGUCGCUAAAUCCAUGUUUUCUUGUAGCGAUGGAGACAAUUGUGAGUGAAAAAAACAAAUUCCCGAGUUACAUGGUACAAUCUAAUGUCACUGGGGAUUUGCAUUGUGGUCUCUCUGGUUUACAGAUUUUGUACUUGAAGCAAUAAUUAAGAUCAGAAGAAGCUUAUUUAGAUCAGAGCGAUGAAGAUGGAGACAAUUGAGAAGCCACAAGACAAAAUUGCAAGGACGAAUGGUCAGUUUGCAUUUUCACAACUCAAGAACUUACUUUGUUGAUAAACUUUGCAUAACAACUGUUCUUGUUUCAGUAUUACUUAAUUCUUUAGAUAUUGUUUUACUGAAUGUAUAACGAUUGCACGAUCAAAGCAAGAACAUAGCAAAAGUUAAAAUGGCUCAUGAGGCUUCUAGUUUAUGUUCUCUAUAUGAAUGAAGACAUGCUAUUUUAUUCUAUAUGAAUAGGUGAACUAUUCCAUUUGGCGUCUCUUCUUUUUUUUUGCCAAACACCAUUUUAUAAAGUUAUCGGACGAAGACUUUCCUCUAGAGAGAGCCAAUCCGGAGCCGAUGUGCUUACAUGGGAGAAUAAAGAACCUCAUGCUCUUGCCUUUUUUGCGAGACAAUCGGCACGUAUAUUGUUACAUCUCGGAAUAAAUCUAAUAAAAAACGAAGGGAAGGACAGCUUCAAAAGCUUAAAAUGUUGUAACUGCAAACGUAGGCCAAUCAGAUGGAUUAUCUAAAAUGGAAAUCAGUUCGGAGCAAUCUGUGGCGAAGCCAAAAUUCGUCAUCGAGUCUGAGAUGAGGCACUCCAUUGCCCAUAGAAGGGUGUCGAAUUCUGCUUGCAGGGGUGAUAAUCCCCGACGGGAACUUUUCAGUUCUAAGAGAAUAAGGGUAUCUCCAUCCAUAACAAUCCACCAAUGUCCACCGAGGGGGUCAGUUACUUUCCAAGUGCCAUCGAUUUGACAUUCUGAUUGAGGAGUGCCCGAGAUUAUAGGGUCAGGAGGUGGCCUUACGCCUUCAACAAGGAGAUCGUCUUUAUUAUUUGCAAUCUUCCAUGCAUUCACCUCUUGAACGGCAUCCUCUAGAGUGUUCUGGGGAGACUCCCGGAUAUUUUCUAAUAUAAAGCUGUUUCGAGCCUUCCAUAGAUACCACAAUAUCCAUGGGAAUAAAUGCCCAAUUUCUUCUCCAAUAAUCAUCCAUUUCGCUCUCCAAAAAAGAAAGUCCAUAUUAGAGAAUAUGGACUGACUUGGGAAGGAGGAAGGCAAUGUUGGGAUUGGUGAAAGGGCCCAGGUUUGAAGCGCUGGUGGGCAUUCAAAGAGGAGGUGAUUAAUUGUCUCCUCUUCAGCACCACAUCUUGGACAAUGCUUCUCCUUACCAAUGUGUCGGUAGAAUAAAGUAUGGUUUGUCGCUAGACAUCCUGAUAAACAUUGCCACACAAAAUGCUUAAGCUUUCGUGUAGUUUUUAACUUCCAUACUUGUGCCAGAAGGGGGGUGAUCCCUGGUCCCUGAAAAGGGUGGUCACAAGUAGGACGGGAAAGAUCCCGCGCAGCCCAAUACCCUGACUUAACAGAAUAGUUACCAGAUUUUGUGCCAUUCCAGCUAUAUCCAUCACUUAAAUACGAGCGACUUGGUCGGAUACCUAGAAUCUGAGGGAUAUCCGAAGAGUCAAUCAAAGCAUGAAGUCGCUCAAGUUUCCACUGUUUGGAAAUAGGAUCAAUCAAAUGAUCCACAUAAAGAUGUGGAUCUCUCUCGGUUGUCUUGCCUUUGGCAGGACGAGCCAGAAUGUCGGGAAUCCAGGGAUCUAACCAAACUCUGGUAUUCAUCCCUGAACCUAUAGUCCUCCUUAAUCCCGAGGUAAGGAGCCGUUUUGACGCCAUAAUACUCCGCCACCCAUAAGAGGGUCUAUUGGAUUUUUUUAUCUCAAGUGGAUCACUGUAACGGUAGUACCUUCCCCGGAGAACACGGCUGAGGAGAUAAUUUGGAAAUUUGAUUAGGCACCACAAUUGUUUGGCUAGUAGAGCAAGGUUAAAUUCUUCCAACGUUCUAAAGCCUAGACCUCCUUCUGAUAGUUGGGUGUAUAGUUUGUCCCAGGCAAUCCAAUGGAUUCCUUUACUAUCUGCUUUUGUCUUCGACCAAAAAUCCGCAAUAGCACUGCUUAGCUUUGAACGGAUAGCUUUAGGUAAGAGGAAGCACGACAUGACAUAUGUCGGAAGAGCUUGCGCUACUGAUUUUAUUAGAUUCUGUUUCCCACCCUUGGAAAGGAAUUUGGCUAACCACGUAUUGAGCCGACUAUGAAGACGAUCUCGGACAAAGGCAAAAACUUGGGUUUUGGAGCCGUGGAUCUUUUCAGGAAGUCCCAAAUAAGUACCCAUUCCCCCUUCGUUAGUUAUCCCAAGGGUUCUUUUUAUGGUACUGCGAGUCUGAUCAUCAACGUCUUUGCCAAACAUCACCGAGGAUUUCCGAAAAUUUAGCUGUUGGCCUGAAGCCGCGCCAUAUAAGCGAAUUAUGUCUAUUAUAGCCUUCCCCUGGUCUUUAUUCACUCUACAGAAAAACAAGCUAUCAUUUGCAAAGAGGUAAUGAGAGGUUGAAGGGCUUGCUUUCGAUACCUGAAGGCCUUGAAUUUGGCCAUUCCAUUCCACCGAUUUUAGUUGGGCAAUUAAAGCCUCCGUGCAUAAGAUGAAAAGAAAAGGAGGGGUCUCCUUGUCCUCUCAAGUUUCACAAUUCUUGAUUUUGCUGCAACUUUUUUUGUACCAUAUAUUGGCCUCUUGAAAUUUAGUUAUCUUUAAUUUGUAUGAGAUUAAGAAGAACAAGUAUUGGAUGAGGUUUAUUGGGUGACAAGGGACCUAUAUAGUGUGGAUGUCGGAAUCCGCAAUACAAAUUUUAAGAUGUGUAUCGGGUCGUCUAGCCUUGCUAAUUCGAAUAGCAAUCGUCAAAAAGAAAACAAAAGAGUGAAGUAUGUGUAUCCGUUUAUUGCUCAAGAAAUUCGGUCCCCCUUACAAUGAUCUACAACCCCUAUUUAUAAUUACAUCGUCGAAAUCCGUUCCCACCAAUCUAGCCGCGAAUCACGCCCUUAUUAUUAUUUACGUUUUGAAUCUUCUCCAAUCUGUGAAUUCCGUAUGACCCGCACUUUAUUUACUUCGCAGAUUCCGACGUUACAUUCGAGCUGGAUUUGAAAUUAAGUGGGCUUUUCAUCUCAUCAUAUGGGCUAGCUUGACGGCCCACUUCGUUUCCUGAAUCCUAAACUUUCCGGGCCGGAUCCGAAUUACGGGAUCCGACACCAACAGUUUGCCCCCCAAGUAUUCCGAAGUGUAUGCUUCGGGAUACUUAUGAUAUUGAAAAUCUUGUAACAAAGGAAAUUCGACAUAAAUACCGUCAAUCUCGGGAUUUUCCUGUGUCUGAGGUGACGCUUCAAGAUCCUAGGGUUUUCACUUUUCCCGCCAACCGAGAGAUUCUUCUCGGGAACGAGGCGACGCUUCGAGAUCCUAGGGUUUUCACUUUUCCCGCCAAAACGUUCUAUAUAUUAGACUGGACCCUUCGGGUUCUGUACCUUGCCUUCAAUACCCACGAUCCACUUCUGUCCUUCGUUUAUUUAAAGGUAUCCCUCUUCUCCUUACUCCUAAAUUCUCCGAUUGAUUUUGUUUUUCGCUUUAAACUCUUGAAUCCGAUUAGAUUUUUAGAAGUAGAUUAUUCUUAGCAUCUGCUUUCCGCUAGGUUUAGGCCAUAGAUCUGAAGAUCUUUUAGAUUUUCAACCGUUAGGUGUGAAGAAACUUCCGUCAAUUGCCGUUCCUCCGCCGUACUCCUUCGAAUUCCGGUGGUUCUCCCCCGUCAUCCGAAGAAUACUUUCCGUCGGGAUCUUCAUCUCCCUGGUUUUCGGCGAAGAUCUUCACCAGUGUUCUUGAGGGUUUCUCGAUUCAUUUCUUGCCAGAUCUUUUUUCAUCUUUAGAACUUUCAAUUUCAUGUUAUGGCUCCGAAGAAGAGUAAGAAGGUCCGAAAUGAAUCUUUCAUCCUCGAAGAUGAGUUCGGGAAAUACUUUUCCUUAGAACUCGAUGACAGGAAACUAGCUCUGAUGAAAGGCGGCUGCGGUAUCCCUCGACAAGUUAAACUGAUAGCUCCGGAGCCCAGAGAGUCUCCUGAAUCUCCUCCUACCGAUCACUGUUGCGCCUUCGAAAUAUUCUUUUCGGAGUGCGGCCUUUCCUUUCCUUUACCGGAGCUUCUGAUAGAACUUAUGCAUGAACUGGGGAUCGCUUUGCCUCAGCUUUGCCCGAACGUAGUUCGGAUAGUACUAUGCCUCCAGACUCUUGCAGAGGAGAAUGGAUACCGGAUUACGCUAUCCGACAUUUUUCAUCUCUACACAAUGAAGAAGGGGCGAACCCCGGGAACCUUCUUCCUUUGCCCGAGGAGUCAUUUCAGGGUCUUCGGAGACUUUCCUGAAAAAGAUGAGAAGUGGAGGAAAUCGUAUUUCUUCUUUCCUGUUGACGAGUUCACCUAUGGUCCAAAUGCAGGAUUUUUUGUUCGGGACUGGACACGUCGUCCUGGUUAGAUGGUUUUUAGGGAUUUAUUGCAUAUUUUCAUUUCUUGACUUCGCUCCUCGGUGAAAUAAUCCUUUUUGUUUUGCAGUUAAACUUCCGAAGACACCGGUCUCCCAUACCUUUGCAGAACAGUUCAUCAGGAUUUGCAAUCAAAGUGACCUCGCGUGGGAACUCUUUACUUGUGAACAAAUUCGGAACUCGUGCUUUCGUGUCCGCAGUCGCUCCGACCUUAUUACCUCUUCUCCACCUCACACUUCUCCCAUCAUCGAUAGAAACAUGUCUCCAGUCUCCUACCGCGAAGAGAAGAGGCUCCAAAAAGAGAGGGAAAAGGUUAGGGAGGCAAGAGAAAAGGAAGAUAAGGCUAGAAUGGCGAAGGCCCUGGAAGAGGGAAAGUCAAGAUCCGCAACUGGGAAAGGAAGGGCUUUCGGCUCUGUUAUGCCGGCAUCUGAAUCGAAGACUUCUGAUCGUCGAGAUCAAGUGAAGGAGUCUGCUGGUAAAGAGAUAGUCCAAGUUUUGGAAUCCCGUUCCUCCCGAUCAUCUCGGGAAAAAGAGUAUUCUGACGGAGGACCAACUGCAACUUCCUCGAGGAAACGCAAGAGCGAGGACUCAGAUGUUCUUCCUCUACAUCGCAAAAGUCGUUCUCACACGAAUGUCGAUGUGAAUCCUUCCGAAGAUGCCGGGACUACUAGCCAAGGAGCUAAUGACACUUCUCAGGGGACUCCGCUGUCCGAACCUCCCGUUCAAGUCAUGGUCUUGCCUUCGCGAGACUCAGAGAAUCGGGAAUCUGGUCAUCAAGAAAUCCCUAUUCCAAUAGGUAAUCCUAUAUUGUUUUUCGAUUCUUUUUGCAAAGUACGAAUCAUUCAUAUUGAUUUCCUAUAAAACUUUCAAUUAGCCCCUCCGAAGUCUCCAGCUGAUUUCAUGAGGAACUUCACUCCGGCUGGGAUGAGGAUCCCGGCCUUCAGCGAGCUAAAAGAAGUCAACAGGGCGAAUUACUUUCGCUUCGCCGACAAACUUGGAGAGGUACCUCCUUUAAUUCUUACUUGAGCUCGUUUCGCUUGAACUAACGAUUUCUUUUCAUUCUAAUAGAUUAUGCUCGAAUACAACACCACCUUUUCUUGUCACGAGAGCCAGCUCUUCCCCGUGAACGAGCUUGACAGCCUUAGGACUCGAGUUGCUGAACUCGAAGAGGAGAUCCGUCAAAUGAAAGAGAUGGAGGAAGGGAAUGCUAAAGCUGUGGCGAAGGCCAACGAUAUCCGGGAACAGAUGUUGAGUGCCGAAGCUCGCUGUAACCAUCUUGAUGUAGUUAACACGGAUCUGUCGGUGAAACUAAAGACCGGAAAGAACAUGUACCUUGAGGCAUGUGACAAGAUAACUUCGUUGGAGGCCGAAAUCAAGCGAAGUUAGGAAUGGUGCAAGGUUUCUGCGGAAAAACGGGACGAGGAGCUCGCAGCAGCAAGGAAGGAUGAGCGAAAGAAACUCCGAGAACACUACAGUGGCUUGAUCUCAAAGCAUGAGAUCUACCUGAAAGCCCUGAGUGAGAAUGAGUCAAUAAGCAACCGAGCUGCGGAGACUAGAGCAAAUCGGGAGCUUCUUGAGGAGCUUAAGAGAGGCGAAAUCCCGGAUAUUGAUGCCGAGCUGGAGUCUGUGAAGAAGGAUGAAGCGGAUGCGGAGGCCAAAGUUAACAAGAUAAACGCUCUCAAGCCUCGUCCUGAUGAGUUUGCUCAUCUCUUUGUUGCCACUCCUCCCAAGUCGGCACCUGAAGGUCCAUAUACCGAGGAGGAACUUGUAAUCAAUGAGUUCGGUUCCAAAAAAAGUCUCAUGUCCGAGCUCAAAACAGUCCAGGGGUCGGAGGAAAAGCGACAGCAGGAUCCCGAAGCCUAAAGAUCCUUGAUUUGAUUUCCGGGGUUGUUAUGGCUUAAAUGGCCCCCCCUUUGUUUUUAAUCAGAACCUUUUGCUUUUGCUUUCCGUAUCUUUUGGAUUUUAAAAACUUAAGCUAUUUCCUUCCCAAAAAUCUUUUUGCUAACGCAAGUCGGACAAGAAGUUCAUAAAGGAAAACGAAAUACAUUUGAAGUAUUUCCGGUUUUCAAGAAACAUGACACGAGACUUGGACAUCGAAGUUCGAAUUGAACUGUGUUGAACCAGCUAUUCUUUUAAGUAAAUAUACUUAGAAAUUGUUUUAGAAGAAAAAUCUCCAUUUGUUUCUAGAGAUAAAGAUUCGUCUAUUCGAGCACUGAGCUCGGAUGAAAAGAAUCUUAAAUAGUACGAAAAUAACCUUUUCGGUUUGCGAAGAGCGAAUUACGAGAUUACUCUCGGUUUUACGAGUUGCGAGAUAGAUCUCGGCUUUGAAUAUUUAGACUGUUUCAACAAUGUAAAUAUUUUAUUGAUUUAGAGACUGCACUCGAGGUCCGAGCUGCCUACGUACCCAAAGGUGGGGAUCAAGUCUGUCGUAGUUCGAUUUACAAUAGUGAAAAUAAUGUGAUUAAAUAAAGUAUCUCUUCAAAUGAAUGGAAUUCCAAGCUCUCCGAAUUGCUUUUCCUUUCAUGUUCUCGAGACGAUAAACUCCGUUGCGAACUACCUGAGUAAUUCGAUAAGGACCUUCCCAGUUAAUACCUAGCUUUCCAGCUCCAUCCUCGGUAGUAUUUUGCUGAACUUUGCGCAGUACCAAGGUUCCAACGUCGAAGUGUCGACUUCGGACAGUCGAAUUAUAGUAUCGAGCUGCAGCAUUCUUGUAAUUUUGCAUUCGAAUCAAAGCUCGAUCACGCCGCUCCUCAAUGGUAUCAAUAACGUCAACCAUCAGUUCGCUAUUUGCUGCCUCGUUCUGUGGGUUAUUCAUCAUUCUCGGACUUGGCACAAAUAUUUCAGCAGGGAUUACAGCCUCCAUUCCAUAAACUAAUGAAAAUGGUAUUUCACCUGUUGCACGCCUAGGAGUAGUGCGAAUUGCCCAGAGAACACUCUGUAGUUCAUUAAACCAAGCUCCUUUGUGCGACUUGAGUUUUUUCUUCAAAGUAGACAAAACAGUUUUGUUCAUUGCUUCAGCUUGACCAUUACCCUGCGGGUAACGAGGCGUUGAUCGACUGAGUCUGAUUUGCCAUUCUUCGCAAAAAGAUUCGAAUUGCCGCGAAAUGAAUUGAGGUCCGUUAUCAGUAACGAUCUCGUAUGGCAAACCGUGCCUACAAAUGAUGUCCUGCCAAAUGAACUUGCGAACUUGAACCUGAGUUAUGUUUACGUAGGCUGCCGCUUCUACCCACUUCGAGAAAUAAUCGGUAAGAACUAGGACAAAUUUCACCCCGCGCGUAGAAACAUGAAGAGGCCCAAUAAUAUCCAUAGACCAUUUCAUAAAUGGAUAAGGAGAAGAGACUGAUGAUAAUGGCUCGGUGGGUUGGUGAAUUGAAGGUGCAUGCUUCUGGCACUGCUCGCACUUCCGCGCAUACUCCUCACAAUCUGCGAUUAAUGUGGGCCAGAAAUAUCCGUACUUUCUUACUUUAUAGGCCAAAGAGCGACCUCCGGAGUGAUUUCCGCAUACUCCGUCAUGAAUCUCUUUUAUCACAGUACGGACCUGCUGUCCAAAAAUACAGAUCAUGUCAGGACCCGAGAUGCUUCUUCUGUAGAGGAUGUCGCUCGAAAUGCAGAAACGAGCACUUUUAGCUUUUAGUCUCCGUGCCUCCCACUUAUCCGUAGGGAGAAUACCAUUAAGGAUGUAUUCUCUUAUGGGUAUCCUCCAGUCUGCCCCCCAAUCCGGAAGCGGUAGCACUGGUUGCAGUGGUUCCGGAUUUGGCGGUGUUCCGAUUAGUGAUUCUACUUCGGAGUUCCGCUCAGUUUCCUCGACCCUUUGUGGUUCCUGUUCCACAUUCAUCCUUCUUUGCAUAGACCGUGUAGUCACGAAAUUCAGCUCUCCGGUGGCUAUGCUGGGAUGUUCAAUUACUUCAACAGGGAUCAUUCGGCUCACUGUUACUUCGGAACUCGACGCCAAUGCCGCUAAAGCAUCCGCCGCUGAGUUCUCACUUCGCGGAAUUCUAGUGAGUUCGAAACUAAGAAACUUUUUACUCAAUUCCUGAACCUGAGCGAGGUAAGCUUCCAUUCUGCCAUCUUUUGCUUCAUAAUCACCGGAAAAUUGAUUAGCAACGAGCUGUGAGUCGCAAAAUGCCCGUAAUUUUGUGACACCUAUCCCAACCGCUAGACGAAGUCCUGCAAGGAGAGACUCGUACUCCGCCUCGUUAUUCGACGCAUUAAAUGCGAGACGAAAUGACUGUUCAAUUACCUCACCAUAUGGGGAUUGUAAUCGGAUACCGAUCCCGGAACCCUGUUUUGAGGACGCGCCGUCCACAUGAAGUAUCCAAGGUCCUUCAUUUUCUUUGACUUCCACAGAGACCAGAGGUAGUUCGAUCAGAAAAUCUGCGAGGACUUGAGAUUUCAAGCUUGUCCUUGUUCGGAACUGAAUAUCAUACUCGCUUAGCUCAAUUGCCCAUUUAACCAAUCUUCAUGACUGACUCGGACUAUGCAAAAUUGCCCUUAAAGGUUGCGUGGUUAGGAUAAUAACCGUAUGAGAUUGAAAAUACGGUCUUAAUUUCCGAGCCGAAGUAAUUACUGCCAGAGCUAGCUUUUCCAUCAUCGGAUAUCUUGACUCUGCGCUGUCAGAAACCGAUACGUACAAGAAAAGCUCUUCUCCGAACUCGGGUUUCGCUAACACAGGAGGUUUGGACAAAUAAUCUUUUAGAUUUUUGAAAGCCUUUUCGCAAUUCUCAUCCCAGAUGAAAUUCUUGUUUGCUUUUCGGAGCAGAUUAUAGAAUGGAAGGCACCUAUCGGUUGACCUCGAGAUGAAUCGGUUCAAAGCUGCUAUCCGCCCCGUGAGUCGCUGAACUUCCCGGAUGUUGCGAGGCGAAGUCAUCGCCAGAAAAGCGUUCAACUGUCGCGGAUUAGCUUCGAUUCCUCGCUCCGUGACAAUGUAACCCAAAAACUCUCCCGAAGGAACUGCAAAAGUGCACUUGGUCGGGUUCAGUUUCAUUCCGAACUUAUUCAAAAUUGCGAAGCACUGCUCUAGAUGCUCAAUAUGCGAAGUGCUUGAUAUUGACUUUACCAACAUAUCGUCAAUAUACACUUCCAUCAUUUUACCGAGGAGAUCUUUGAACAUCAUAUUCACCAACCGUUGAUAAGUGGCUCCGGCAUUUUUCAACCCGAACGGCAUGACUAUAUAACAGUAAGUUCCACGGUCCGUGAUGAAAGCUGUCUUUUCCUGGUCUUCCGGAUUCAUCAAAAUCUGAUUAUACCCGGAAAAAGCAUCCAUAAAGGACAUCAUUUCGUGGCCCGUAGUUGACUCCACAAGUCGGUCGAAGUGGGAAACUAUCUUUGGGACAGGCUUUAUUAAGAUCGAUAAAAUCUACGCAAACCCGCCAUUUCCCAUUUUUCUUCUUGACUACAACAGGGUUUGCCAACCAGUCUGGAUAUUUGACCUCGCGAAUCACACCGGCAUCGAGCAGGCGCUGAACUUCGGCAUUUACAGCCUCGGCUCGGUCUGGACCAAGUUUCCUGCGUUUUUGUUUUACUGGUUUGAAAGUCGGGUCAAUGUUGAGCUCGUGCGAAAUGACCUUUGUAUCGAUCCCAGUCAUCUCCUCGAUUUUCCAGGCGAAAGUUUUUUGAUUCCUUUUUAGGAAAGUUAUCAGUUCGACUCGGAGUGUUUCGCUUAAACCCGCUCCUAUUCUCACAGUUUGAUCCGGAUACUCCUCAUUAACUACCACUGCCUCCACGAGGUCACUGCUUAUUUUUUUGACGGGAUUUGCAGGCACCUCGAACUGUGGUUGCUAUUGAAUUUUAAGCUUAUGACUGGACAUGUAACACAUCCUCGCAGCUCGCCGACUUCCCAGGAUUUACUUUACUCCGGAUUUCGUAGGGAAUUUCAAGCAUUGAUGAUACGUUGAAGGUACUGCUUUCAUCUCAUAAAUCCAGGGUGUUCCCAAGAUAACAUUAUAAGCAGCCGGAUGAUCGAACACCGUGAACUCGAUCAUUUUGACUAUGCCUUCUGCGCAUACCGGGAGCACAAUCGUUCCUAAUGACAUUGAAGUUUCGCUAGUAAAGGAAACCAAAGGAGAUGGUGGCCCCCUUAUAUCUUGCUUCGAUAUCCCCAUUCUAGUCAGAGUAUCGAGGAAAAUUAAAUCCACCGAACUCCCAGUAUCAAUGAGAACCCGAGACACUUCGCAAUGCGCAAUAUCGAGUGUUAUGACCAGAGCAUCGUCGUGUGAUUUGUCAAGUUGACUUGUUUCUCUUUCGGAGAAUGUUACUUCGGGUAAUUGUUCCUCAGUAAGUCUGGCCUUCUUGAUUAUCGGGGUGGUUGCCCUCCGUUCGUGUUGCUUGAUUGCACUAAUGGAGUCUCGAAAUAGCUUGGAUCCCCCCAUAAUCACCUGGAUUUGCUUCUUCGGUCCUUUAAGAACAUCAGGGGACUGGAUCCUUUUGGUUUUUUUGAUAGGAGGAGACGGUUCCUCUGUUGCUAAUGUUUGCUCUGACAGAUGAGUCGGCUCGAGCUCCGAAAUAUCGAUUUCGGUUAUUUCCCCGGAUGCGAACUUGGCAGCCAGUAACCUUCCUAGAGCCUUGCAAUCUUUCGUAGCAUGCCCAUUGACUUUGUGGAUCUCGCAGUAGGCGUUUGGGUCACGAAUCCACUUGUUACUCGGGAAAGCGCCGUUUUUGCUCUUUGGCGAGAAAGACUGCUUCGCAGGUGAAUUCUUCGGAGAACCUUUUGGCUCCUCCCGAUCCACUGAGAAUGUGCCAGCUCCAGGUUUCCGAGCUUCAGGUUGAACAGGUUUCUUCUGAGGUAGAAGUUGAGCAGGUUUCGGAGCUGCUUUGAACUUUUUUGCUAGAGCGGCCCGCUCUUCUUCCGCGUUUAUCCAGUUCGUUGCCCGAUGGAGGGCAUCUUGAAUAGUGGCUGGUCGGUUAACAACCAACUCUUCUCAGAAACGGGAUUCGUGCCAUAGACCGUUCUUGAGUGCAGCAAUUGCUGCAGAAUCAGACAAAUUUGGGAUCUGGACCAUAAUCUCUUUAAAGGAGGUGAUGUAAGUCCGGAGCGGCUCUCCGGCUCCCUGUGAGAGGUUCCACAGCUGGGCAUCAGUUACAUCGCUCUUGAUGAAGUAUCCGUACUGCAUGAUGAAAGCAGUGGAUAGUUGCUUGAAGCUAUCGAUCGAUCCUUCUUCUAGUUGAGUAAACCAGGUCAAAGCCGGCCCGGAUAGGUUCUCGGCGAAGAGUUUGCAUAAGCCCGCGUCUACUUCGUUUGGCUCCAAAUGUACCCGACCUGCGGUUACCUGAAAAGACGCUAAAAAUUCUUUGGAAUCUCUCUUACCAUCGUACCCCGGAAGUUUGGCCUUCCUUUGGUCUCGAAUUCGCAGGGCUACAAUUCGUGGAGUAAAAGGAGUCCUUCUCGUCUCCUCGAUCACUCUAUCGACUUCGGGAGCCGAACUGGUGGCUUGAUGAACCCUCGAACUCAUUUCCCGAAUCUGAUUUUGUAAGCUCUGGAUUUCCGGGUUGACCGGAAGGUGAGGUGGAUGGGACUCGGUUUGAGGAUGAUGCGGGGUGCUGCCAUGUUGAAUGGGGAGAGGUGUUCUGGCUGGAACAAAAGGACCGCCGGCUGAAUUUUGAGGUGCUUGAGCAUGACGGGAUCCAUCUCCAGGUUCACUCUGAGAGCCAAGAGGCAAAGAAGAUGGGAGUACGUUGUUCGGGGAAACGAGCCUAGGAUCCUGAACCUCCGAAACGUUCGGACCAUGAAAGUCCAAAUGGCCGCGAGGUCCGCUGGUCCGCAAAGUUCCUGCAAGAAUUGUAUCAACCCGAUCCGCAUAAGCAUUAUGGGCUGACCUGAUUUCGGAACAACUCGCUGUGAGGACUGCGAUUUGGCUGCCGCUUUGCUCUUCAAACGCUGAAAGCUUCUCAGAUAACGCAGUGGUGGCGAGCUGCUGCUGGUCGGUCUUCUCGGACAGAUCUUUAAGCAACUUCUUGAUCUCGUCGAGGACUGAAGCCGGAUCCGCUAUGUCUGACAUCUUUUCGAUUGAUAUUCUGGAGUAAAAGACUAGAAAACCCCUCCUUCUAGCUCCAAAUUGUGGAUGUCGGAAUCCGCAAUAUAAAUUUUAAGAUGUGUAUCGGGUCGUCUAGCCUUGCUAAUUCGAAUAGCAAUCGUCAAAAAGAAAACAAAAGAGUGAAGUAUGUGUAUCCGUUUAUUGCUCAAGAAAUUCGGUCCCCCUUACAAUGAUCUACAACCCCUAUUUAUAAUUACAUCGUCGAAUUCCGUUCCCACCAAUCUAGCCGCGAAUCACGCCCUUAUUAUUAUUUCCGUUUCGAAUCUUCUCCAAUCUGUGAAUUCCGUAUGACCCGCACUUUAUUUACUUCGCAGAUUCCGACGUUACAUUCGAGCUGGAUUUGAAAUUAAGUGGGCUUUUCAUCUCAUCAUAUGGGCUAGCUUGACGGCCCACUUCGUUUCCUGAAUCCUAAACUUUCCGGGCCGGAUCCGAAUUACGGGAUCCGACACCAACAUAUAGGAACUUGAAUAAUUUAGGUGUUUAUGCAUUUCAACGUGUAUCGAAUUUUGUGGGUAAGUGUAAUGGAUUUGCUCAUUCUAUUAGACGUUGGAUUGUGUUUUAUUAGGAAGCGAAUAUGGGUGGUCACGGACAAAUGAAUUCGAAAUUUGACGAUGGAAUUGCAAAUGUGGAUGCCAUUGAUUUUUCUAAUGCAAGACAUAAGAAUCUAAGGAGGUCUUUUCUCUUUUUUCUUGACAAGAAGUUUCAACAGCCAUUUCCACUUCCAAUUCUUAUCGAUAAUAUUCAAUUUCAACUGAAAACGAAGAACUCAUGGCUAAUCAUAUGCUGACAGUUUAAGAGUAUGUUAUCUUUCAUGUUAGGUGAUGUGUGAAUGUUUUGGCGGACCUGAUGGAAUUUGUUAGGAACAAUGAAGCGGAACUGAUAGAAUCAACCUGGAUGCUGAGGAGAUCUGCGAGACAAUUCAGUAAGCUCUUUUUGCUCUUUGUCACUUUCAGAGUGAUCUCUCCCACAGAAGCUGCCGUGUUCUUCACGUUCUCCUUUACAAGGUCCUCCUCGUCUCCUCUGCCUCUAGCUGGCAAUGCCACGGCGUCUUCAUAUCAUGUGGAUCCACCACGACCCUUUGGGUUUGACAGUAUAAAGAGUAAUGGCACACACUCCCCUCCUGGAAGCUGGACUGUCACAGCAGCACAAUCGAUUCCAUCUUCUUCCUUGAAAUUGACGCUUCCGUCUAAAUCAACCUGCUAAAAAAAAAUUAAAGAGACGAUCAAUCACAAACCCUAACCCUAAGCAGACUGUUUCUUUCGGUAGAAUCAAAGAUGCGAAAUCAAACCUCAAAGGGUCCUUCGAUCUCGACAAGGGUGUAGGUGAGACGGGUCAUGAGCUUGGUGUUCUGGAACUCAGGAGUAGCGUUCUUGCUUACACUGUCUGCCUUGACGGUGAAGGAAGCAGAACUUCUUGCCUGUGUACUUUCCUGGCUUGAACGAGAACGUCCCAGAGCAACCGUCAAUACCUGGGCACGUGUUAGCCGUUCCAGUUCCUUUCACUUCCAUGUAUGUCUUGCUCUGAGCCUCUGAAUCUCAUCGUAGGUAGUCUCUUUCGAGCUCCCUCUGCACUUUCUCCCUUUCAUUAUACGAGAAAGAAACAACUUUAAGUCAACUGAUCCAAUAAGAUUGAAUCAACGAUUACAAGAACUGGAAUAGCGGUUUCGCAUUGUAUAGUGCUAAUCCGUAUCUUUUAUUGGUUUGGUUGUUCUGUUCUGUUUUCAGUUUAAUAUAAAACUCAAAAAAAAAACUCAUGUGACGACUCGAUACAUAUUAAAAAAAACUCUUGUUCUCUGUUUAUGGAUUAAUCUACAGUUCGUAAUGAUUAAUCCAGACGGGUCAUGAGCUUGGUGUUCUAGAACUCAGGAGGAGCGCUCUUGCUUGCACGCAUGUUUUAUAUGGAUAUAGGUUUAUAUGAGGGAUCUCAACUCUUUGAAGAUGAAAAUGACCAGAAAUUUCUAUGUUGUUAUUGCAGGUUACAUGGCAGUGUACACCACAAGGAAAAUACAACAAACGGUCAGUUUGCAUUUACAACCCAAGAAUCAGGAACUUACUUGGCGUGUUUUGAGGCCGAUGCCAAAAAUCAUGGUAACAAAGAUUUUAGCCAAAGAUUGGGACUCCAUUGCUAGAAAAGAGAAGAUCGAGGUCAGCUCUCCAUUUCCAUAAUGCUCGCUAAAGUACUAGAAACAACACUUUUCUCUACUUUCUUUCUCUUGAUGCUCUCUUUGGAACAGUUAGUGUAAGACUGAAUUUGGUUCCUUUAAACAACCUGACAGAGUCAAAAUGAAUGGUUGCUGAUAGCAGAUGUUACUCAAUCAUGUUGGCUACUCUCCUAAGAUCAGCCACAGAGAGCUGGUAGAAAUGGCAAAGCACCGGAAGGAAUUGGAGAAGAUGGCAAAACCCGUUCUUGAUACUCUAAGAAGCUACCAGGACUUGCCUCCGGUAAUCUUCUUACUUUUUUUUCAUUGAAUCGAAAAACCUGAUAACAUCUCUGGUUCUCCAAGUCUUAAUUAAACUGUGAUUGUUCAGCAUUAUCAGUCUCCACUUUAUUAUUGGUUAUUGCUAGUGUCACUUCACAGUGUAUAUAUAUAUCAUUUCCUUUGGUCUCUUUUUUUUAAUUUGACUUAUUUGUUUCUGAUUUAAUUGGUUUUGUCUUUACAGUUUCAUGUUAAUGACCAAGCUGCAAUUGAGAUGGUUAAAGGUCGACGAAGCAAUAUUCAGAAGAAAUUGUAGUUUUUAAUUUUUGUUUUUGUUUUACGCCAAAUUAGUGUGUAAACUUUUUUUAUAUAAGAGUUUUUGUAUAUUAUUUUAUGUAAUAAUGAUAAUAAAUAUUGUAUUUUAUUUUUGAUAUGUUAUUUUAAUCCAAAAAUUCCAGUAAAUGUGAUUUAAAUAUAAUUAAAAUAAUUAACAAAAAUACAAAUAUUAUAAAAAUAAAAAUUACUGAAAUAAUUAAUCAAAUAUAAAUAUUGCAGAAAAAACAAAUUAUAAAAAUAGAUACAAUCUAAUCAUAACAAUUAUUAUACGUUAUUAUAAAUAUUAAUAAUAGCAGCGUCAUAAACGCUAUCGUUGUAUACUAAACUAUUGCACAACGCAAAACCGCUAUCAAAAGUGUCCGAGUUUCUAUAACGGACGAUGUCAGAGCGCUUAAGGAAACGCUAUGGUAGAUGAAUAAUUGCGUUUUUCGGCCGCUAUUAAUACCCACAUUUCCUGUAGUGCCUAUUUAUGGACUCAAACAAGCUCCACGGGCUUGGUAUAUGGCGUUGAAGCAACAUCUUCUCUCCACUGGUUUUACGAACUCCAUGGCUGACACCUCUCUCUUCAUUCACAGCUUGGGUGGCUACAUUACAUAUGUCUUGGUCUAUGUCGACGAUAUCCUCGUCACGGGAAAACAAUCCCAGCAUCCUUGAAAGAGUUCUCUCCUCGUUUGUAAAUCGGUUCUCCAUCAAAGAUCCAUCGGAUCUUCAUUAUUUCCUAGGCAUCGAAAUGUCACGCUCUUCCAAAGGUCUUCACUUAAUGCAAAGGAAAUAUAUCACUGACCUCCUUACUCGCCACAACAUGCUUGAUGUAAAACCGGUACAUACACCUAUGGCAACAACUCCGCAGCUCACACUAACCGGUGGGGAUCCACUUCCUGAUGCAAUUCAAUUCCGUUCAAUAGUAGGCAGCCUCCAAUACCUUGCUUUUACCAGGCCGGAUAUCUCCUUCGCGGUGAACAAGUUAUCACAAUUUGUCCAUAAACCAACGACAGAACAUAACCACGCUGCCAAGCGCGUCUUGCGGUAUCUCGCCGGCACACUCACACAUGGCAUCUACCUUCAUGCGUCCUCACCAAUUACAUUACACGCUUAUUGGAUGCUGAUUGGGCUGGCGACAACAAUGAUUAUCUCUCUACUAACGGAUAUUUAAUCUACCUAGGACGCAAUCCAAUAUCUUGGUCCUCAAGGAAACAAAGAGGUGUUGCCCGCUCAUCCACUGAAGCGGAGUAUCGGGCUGUAGCGAACACGGCCUCCGAGGUACGAUGGUUAUGUUCUUUAUUUUCUGAGCUCCGCAUACCCUUACCGACAUCACCUGUCAUCUAUUGUAAUAACAUUGGGGCAACAUAUCUUCGUGCGAAUCCGGUAUUUCACUCACGUAUGAAGCACAUUGCACUAGACUAUCAUUUUUUCCGCAAUCAGAUUCAAGAAGGAAUGCUGCGAGUUUCACAUGUCACCACGGAUGAUCAGUUAGCCGAUACUCUAACCAAACCUCUACCCAGGACACGAUUUCAACAUGCAUGUAUCAAGAUUGGUGUUACUAAAGUACCUCCAUCUUGAGGGGGUGUAUAAGAGUAUAUGCUAACAAUAAGGAAAGGAUCUAAAUGUAAUUACUUAAGACCUAAUUAGUCUCACGAGUCUGUAUAUAUACUGAUGUAAUUCUUCUCAUAUGAAUAAGAUCAUUCUCUACACUUAUAAUCUUGAAGUAUCCCUUUUACUAACUCCUCCCAUACUUGUCUUGUAUACGGGCAUUGAAAGAAGAGGUGGUCUCUUGUCUCAACCGAUUCCUGACAAAACGCACAAGAUGUAUUCACUUGGUUCUUCCACUUCGCCAUUCGUUCACCUGUAGAUCAUUUGUCAUGCAUUGCAAGCCAUGUAAUAAAAGCGUACUUAGGCGUAGCUUCAGAAAACCACACUCCCUUAGCACAGCUGCAGAUUGGAUGCUCAUCUCUCAAGAGAUUCCAAGUCUCGUUGGAUGAGAAUUUGGAUUUGAAACCAUUCUUCCAUCUCCUCUUGUUAACGUACAUCUAACUCUGUUUUCCGACUCAGCCGCAAGGCUUCUAUUUCUGCUUCAACCUUAUUUAGACUCUCCACUCGAUGUCAUCUUCCUCUAUGCUUACUUAAAACGGCUUCCACGGUGGCUGUUUUUCUUUUCUCCAAAGAUAUCUGUCAUACCAAAAUGAUGUGCCACGGCCACUAUUUAUUUCUACCAUAUGACCAAAUUGCAAAGGAGUUAAGGUUGUAUUGAACCCAGUCUGAUUGAAGUAUCAUAUUCCCACACAUACUUUGAUUUUACCCUCAACUUUCCUAAAAACAUAUUAAAAACUCUUAACUUUUUUGUGGGUUUUUAAACCCUCACCUUUUGAGUUUUGAUGAAUGAAAAAUAAACGCUAAUAUUAAUAAACUCAACUUAAAUUCAAACAAAUAUUUUAUAAAAUAAUUUUUAAAUUUAUGAUUUAUAUUUUUUUUGUCAACCACACAUUAAUUAAAAAAUAACUCUUUGACUGGUUGCCCAAGAGGAUAAGAGUUUACAAAAGUAACAUCAGAAAAUAAAAGUCUAGAAGAACAGGCUAAGCAGUCCGCUUGAACAUUACAUAAACGAGAAAUAAGAGAAAGCGAGAAGAAGGGAAAAGAGACUCGUAGUAAUUUAAAAUCAUCUAGCAGAUUGGAGAAAACGGGCCAAUCUUCAGGUGACUGAAUUUAUGAUUUAUGUUAAAUUCUUGUUUGCGAUUUUUUUUUCUUUCUAAAAUUAAGUUUUUGCGAUAGAAAUUUUAUUCAACAUUUAGUUGAAAUUAGGCAAAUCAGUUUCGUUACCAUUAAAAGUUGUGAUAUAUAAACUAUAAAAUUUUAGGAUAACAAAUUCAAUGUUUUUGGUUUAAUGGUUCGUGUUUCUCAAGUCUUGAUUUAAGAAAUGGUCAAAAUUAUAACAAAAUUCAGAUUCAAUUGGAUUUGGUUUAAGUUUGGAUGAAAAUUUAGUUAAAUAAUGAUUAAUUAUAUGUAAUUCAUAUGUAAAUUUAAUAUAUGUUAAUUUUAUAUAUGAAAAUAUUAACUGAAAUAUUUUGAUGUGAAAAUUUAUGUACUUUUUGUAGUAUUAUAAAAUUUGGUUUGGUUUCACACUUGCAAAAUAUGGCUAGUUUGAAGAUUUUUUAUUGCGGACAAGGUAAGGUAUGAAAGUCAGUUGUUGCAAAUAAAAUGACCAAUUAAAUUUCUGAAAGGAAAUAUCAAGAAAUUUCAGACUAAAAUUUAGAUGGAGAGAGAGAGAGAGAGCUAGCAAAUUUAGGAAUGUGAAACAAAGUCAACUGUUAAUGAGGGCUAUUUCCUCUUUAACAAGACCAAUUGGGAAUAACUCUUACUUAGUCUAAGCUAUAUUUUAAAUUUUAUGAGCAAUUGUGCUCUGUUUUGAGCUGUCAUGCUCUGUUUUCUGAUUUUGAAUCUUUCCUUUGAUUUUUAAUGUAGUUUAAACGGCAAAAAAAAAAAAAAAAAAAAAUUAUUACUUCCUCCAGCGAAAGAGGGCUGUUUCAAAGCCUCCAGCGAAACACUAUGGAAAAUCUCCAAACGUUACUUCCUUUGUCAACUCUUGAUUUUGCGUAUCAAUCGGAUAUUUGGAGUUUUUUAAUCUUUGUAAUAAGGUGAAAUAAUUGGUGGGUUGCAUGCAUUUUCAGAUUUUCUUAUUCAAAUAAAUUUCUCAGAGGAAAUAUCAAGGAACUUCGUUUCAGAUAAAUUAUAAAGAUAUUGUGUGUCACGUUCUAAGCCUAUAUACAUUCAAAUUUUAAUUCUUACCCCUACAUAACUCUGUUAUUAGAUCUGAAAAUUCUUCUAUCGAUCAAUAGUAAUGGCUUUUUCUUCUUCUUCUUCUUCUGCUCUUUCGAUUCCUUUAUCUUCUUCGUCUCAAAACUGGGAGUACGAUGUCUUUCCGAGCUUCCACGGGAAAGAUGUACGCAAAACCUUUCUCAGCCACCAACUGAAGGAGUUCGGAAGAAAAGCAAUCAACUUUUUUGUUGAUAACGAGAUCAAGAGAGGAGAAUUCAUCGGUCCUGAACUCAAACGGGCAAUCAAAGGAUCUAAGAUUGCUGUUGUCUUGCUCUCCAAGAAUUACGCUUCUUCUUCGUGGUGUCUUGACGAAUUGGUGGAGAUCAUGAAGAAAGAGUCGGGUCAAACGGUGAUUACCAUUUUCUAUGAAGUAGAUCCAACUGAUGUGAAGAAGCAGAAGGGAGACUUUGGGAAGGUCUUCAAAAAAACUUGCAAAGGUAAAGGCAAGGAGAAGGUUCAGACAUGGAAGAAAGCUUUGGAGGGUGUGGCCACAAUCGCGGGUUACCAUUCAAGCAACUGGUUCGUUUUCUUGAUUUAAAUUCACUUGCUUUUAAUAUUUCUAACACAUCAAACUAUAUUUGUAGCAUUCAUAGUGAUUAUUUAUUAACAAGAUGUAUGUAUAAAGUGAUCUUCCUCUUUGUUAGGGUUGAUGAAUCAACCAUGAUUGAAAACAUCGCUGCUGAAAUUUCGAACAAGCUCAAUCAUUUGACGCCGUCACGUGAUUUUGACCAUUUAAUUGGGAUGGGAGCUCAUAUGAAAAAGAUGGAACAGUAUUUACGUCUAGAUUUGGAUGAAGUGAGGAUGAUUGGGAUUUGGGGUCCGCCAGGGAUUGGAAAGACCACCAUAGCCAGGUUUAUGUUUAACCAACUCUCCAACAAUUUCCAAAAUAGCGCAUUCAUGGUGAAUAUCAAGGGAAGCUAUCCAAGACCUUGUCUUGAUGAGUACACUGCACAAUUUCAACUACAGAAAGAAAUGUUGUGUGAGAUGUUCAAUCAGAAAGAUAUCAUGAUUUCUCAUUUAGGAGUCGUACAAGGACGGUUGGGAGACAGGAAAGUGAUUCUUGUUCUUGAUGAUGUGGAUCGGUUAGCACAACUAAAUGCCUUGGCCAAAAAUGUUCAUUGGUUUGGUCGUGGAAGUCGGAUUAUCAUCACAACAGAAGAUCUAAGACUUUUGAAGGCACAUGGGAUCGACCAUAUAUACAAGGUGAAUUUUCCAUCAAAUGAUGAGUCUCUUCAAAUGUUCUGCAUGUAUGCUUUUGAUCAAAAGUCCCCUAAAGAUGGUUUCGAUGGACUUGCUCGUGAAAUUACAUACCUUGUCGGUGAACUUCCUUUAGGACUGAAGGUUAUGGGAUCCUACUUUCGAGGAUUAUCCAAGGAGCGGUGGUCAAUGGAAGUAUCAAGGUUAAGGACUAACCUUAAUGGAGAAAUUGAGAGCAUUUUGAAGUUCAGUUAUGAUGCUUUAUGUGAUGAAGAUAAAGAUUUAUUCCUUCA